UUUCAGUCAUGUUUUUUUUAAUGAAUCCAAAGAUAAAAUUAUUAAAGAAGCUUAAAAGAAAACUUCACCGGCCAAAGUAUGCUCCUAAAAAUGGUAGCAUUUCUUAAAACUACAUAAACCGCAGAAAUAGAUAUAAUUAGUGCCUCUACUCUACAUGAGAUCAAAAUAUAUCUCAUUUGAGUUGCGGGUUUAGAAUUUAACCCGGGUUAACUUGGUUAAUGUUUUUAGAUUUUUUUAAUUGAAUAUAUAUUCUUUAACAACUCAAUUUUUUUAUUUAGUUUUUAUUUUUAAUUUUAUAUUUUAAUAUUAGAUUGUUUGAUAAUCGAGUUUUGUAAAAAAAAUUCAAUAUUCUACUUUCCGUGAAAUUAUUCUAAUCUCAUAAAUUUAGUUUUUUCCUCUUAAUUUCAACCUUUAACAUUAAAAGAUCCAAGGACUAAUUUAUUUUUUAUAACUGGAAAAACAAACUAAAUUUUCUUAAAUAGAAAAUAAAUAAAAAACCAAAAAACCAAAAAACUAAAGCCCAUUACAUCAAAGUCUCUAAAAAGAAUCUAGUUAAAAAACCCAUAAACUAAUUUGAAUUUUUAAAUAGAAAAAUGAACCAAACUGAAUCGUUUAGUUUGAAUUGGAUUUUUUUUUCAGCUCAAUUAUUUAAUUUUUUUUAUUUAGUUAGAUAAAUCGAGCUUUUUUUUUAUUAACGUGGGUGUCUAUAUUAGUUUGCACGUAUCUCGACUAAUCUCACGGGCCCUAAAGUUAACGACCAUGUAAGUCUCUAGUGGCUCUGAAGUUUGUAAGACUCAAACUGGUAAUUUUUAGAAAACAAAUCUAAAACCUAACUAGUUAUUAGGUUUCGAUGGAUUGAUUCUUACUUAUGCAUGUGGAGCUCAUAGUUGGGCCCGUUGUUCUAAAUUUCUAAGUCCCAGGAUCUAAGGAAAAAUCUUUUUUAUCCGGCCCUAUGUAUCUUUUGGUGGACGUUGGGAAGAAUUUAGAAAGCAUAUGUUUGGGGGAUUUAAUCAGUUAAUGGUGGUUUGCUUUGGAGGCAGAUAAUUGGUUGUUUUUUGCUGGAAUAUUUUUGGGGAUGUGUUGUUGUGAUAGAGGAUCGUGCUGGCUUGGAUAGAUAUCAAUGUUUGGACUGACGAUAGUUCAGGUGGUUUUGGACAUGGUGAAUAGAUUAAGAUGAGUAGCUAAAGUAGCAACAGCAGCGACGACGACAACAAUACGGGUGUGCCGCUGUGUUGAUGUUUUCUUUUAAAGAAGGAUAAAAGUUUAUAGUUUUUUUUAGCUUGUAUAGGUAAUUAACUAGGUAUAAUUAAAAAACCAAUUUAAAUUUAUUUUGAAGUGUGUGACCGACUUCUACAAAGAAACAAGAGACAACUUUAAUAAUCUGGUUCAAACUUCGAUACGUAGUUGAAUUUUUAGCGGGACAUAUAAAUCUUAAUUUUUCAUGGUUGGAUUACAGAGUAGAGUUAUCUGAGUUGUUCUGUUCUUCACAUAAGCAUGACUUUAAUUUUAUGAGAUUUUUCUUAAUUUUUUCUCUUUAAUGCUGAUGCAUUUCGAAAAUAAAUUAUUUUCUGUAAUUUUUAGUUUUAAUUAAUAAAAAAUACUUGUAUAUACAUCAUUAUUAUUUUAUUAUUAUUGAUAGUGAAAGUUUUUAAGUAGAUUAUAUAUAGUCUUGUAUAUGACCUUUUCCCACAUUGAUGGGGUUUUUUUACAUAAAAUUUUUGGUGUUAAUUUAUUGUGAUUAUUUGCUUAAUUUAUUGAUUGAUCGAUUCUAUUUUUAAUUGCACAAACAUAAAAAUAAUUGAGAUUUAUGGAUUAUAAAUUUAAUUAUAUUGGUGUCUUUUCCCAGCAGUAAAACAGCAACUUUUAAUAGGAAUUUUUGGUUGCAGUUUCAAGUUUCAUUUGCCUUUCCGCAUGGUUUGUCUUUAGAGUCUUAUUCAUUUUAGUAACUUGGAAUAAUGUUAGUUUCAAGACCCUUACAGCUUUAUAUUAUUCUGUCUCGUAAACAUCACUUGAAUUUUAAGAUGGUAUUAUAUAUAUUUUUUACGUUUUUAUACACAAUUGUCAAAUUUUGCGAUUAAAAAAAUAAAAUUCAUAUGAUAUCAAGUGCCAAAAGAGCUUUUAAACCUAAGUACACAACAUAAAACUUGGAGUUUUGGAGAUCGAAGUUAGUUUUGAAGUGCCUUGAUCAUUUGGUUCAAUAUAUAGGAGUUUAAUUUGGAGCCCGUAAGUUGGCAGAGAAAACAUCAGUGGUUUAUAUAUAGCCCUGGGAUUGAGGCACGGGCAAUUUUAAGGUCAAAAUCUACUCUCUCUUUUUUCAUCAGAUUUUCUAGGCCAAUUUUAACCCACAGAUAUCGCCAAGAUCUUAAUUACUUCUCUGAUUUCCACUAGUUAAAACUUUCUUUAUCAAUACAACUAUAUAUUUUGGUUUAUUAGGAAUAUUAAAUUUAAUUUUCUAAUUCGCUCCAAGUCAUGAGAUUAUUAGGGCUUCAUAAACUUUGUUAAAAAAAAAGAUUCAGACUUCUCAAAAUAAAAAUCUCUAGUUUAUUGCAUGUUGAUCAAACCCUUUCCGUUUCACUACUGUUGCAUCAACAGCUUAUUGGGUUUUGUGAUUUUCUUCUGUCCGCAAUUUUCACAAACAAGGAGAGCUUUAUAGUUAUAAUAUUUUAUUACUUAAAAAACAGCAUAGAAAAAAGGAUUUAACCGAAAAAACAAAAAUGGAGAAAAAUGAACCGUCUGAUUAUUAAUUUUUUUGCCAGGAGUGGUAAGCAGAGAGGCUUUCCGAAUUUCUCUUCAGUGAAAACUCCUCCUGUAUAUUUCUGUUUUAUAUUUCUGCAAUGAUAAUUUUGUCCCUGGUCACUUGUAGAAGAAGAAAAAAAUAAUCCUAGCUAUCAAGUUCUCACUUCAAUUAAUGCAUAGUAUUUCUAGUGGUGUGGGAAUGCCUAGAUAAGCAAAGCAAAUGUAUAUCUCGAAUUUGUCCCCUUUUAUUUUCAAGAAAAAAACAGUUCAUCGUUUGCAAUUUCAAGGCUAGCCACUAGUUUAGACUGAAGGAACUAUAUACAAAAAAAAAAAACCAGAAACUUCCAUGUAAACAAUGCAUCAGUAUCUGGAAAUGGAUAGCAUAAAUGGGAAAUCAUGACAUUACCUCAUAUCUCAGUAAACAUUAAUUCAUCUGUAUCAAUGCUCUUGUACAAGUACCAACAAGAUCUCACUUUGAAUUCUCAAAUUCACAAAGUCAGAUCCAGGGUACUUGUCUAUUUCGGGUACUUUGAAGGCAUGCUUAGAGUUAUAGAAUUGCAUUCUUUUGUUGAGGUAGAAGAUAGAGAAAGAUAUAAAUCGCUGCCCUCGUCUUCCACAUCCCAUGAUAAACUUCUCUUGACUUCCUUUCCUUUCAAUUUUGUGCAAAGUGAGAGAGUUAAAUCAAGAUCAUCAACCUUCCUUUUAGCCUUGUUACACUUUUCCACGUUGAAGCUCCACUUUGUCUCUAAGCUUACUGAUUCAUUAGCUUCUCCUCUUCUUUUAGAAAGUUGGGCUACAAAAUAGGGUUGUUUUAUGGUUGAACUUGUUUGGCUGCGGAUUGACUCGCUAUUGUACAUCGAUUUGUGAUAUUCAGUAUCCUGGGAUUCUUGCAUUAGCUUUUCUCCACUGAUCUUCUCAGCCAUUAAGCUGUAAAAUCCAGCUCCUCUUCUAACAUUUAUGCUAUCCGGUACAGAAGGAUUGGUGAUCCAGUUUCCAUGUCCACUCCAAGGAACGUUUCCAUAUCUGUGUGAAUUGGAAGCUCAUAAGCUUAAGCCCGAAAGGAACCACAAGUUCAAUUUUCAAGAAAAAAUUAAGAUAUAUCUAUUUGAUUAGUACCUGAAGUUAGAAUUAUGAUUGUGAUCAAUAUUUGGAAGCAGAGAGUGUUGCCAAAAUUCGUGAGAGAAUUUGUCCGAACUGCCAAUUAGAUCCCCCGUACCGUUUAUAACUGUCAAUUUAUGAAAGGCAAUAGUUCUGAGAAUUAGGAACGCAUAAGUAGACAAUUAAGAAACAAACCCUAAUAACUAAUUUAUUCAAAACAUACGAAGGAGAAAAUCACAAAACUGGUACCUUGACCUUGAUCAUCAAUCUUCUUGCUCCGGUACAUCUGCUUCCAAACACCCAAACAAAAAAGGAUAUUAAUACGAAAUUAAGUGAUACGAUCAAUCAUCUAAACUCUGAGAAUUGAUCAGUCAAAAUUUUCUAACUUUAUAGUAAAUAAUUAUGGGAUUAGUGCUAUUACCUGUAGAUGGCUCUUGACAUGAGCAAUACUUAGCCCCUUGAAGUUCAUUAGUUGCAACACUAGUUUUGGGGUUGCCCCUAUAGCAAACAAAUAGAUCACAAAUUAAAGUUAAAAAAUAAUUAAAGUAUUUUCUUCGAAACCAAAACACAAGUAUUCAGAAAAACAUCAUCAUGAUCAAGAAGUGGGAGAGAUUCCAAGAUCUUACUCUCGUGACCACCAAGUCUCUCCACAGCUUGAACAAAGCAAAGAUGAAGAUCAGGAGUCCAUCUUAGCCUAGGUACCUUCGAUCUUGCAUAUGGCCUUACCCCACUAGAGCUUGCUUUCUCGCACUCCUCCACAAUGCUAUUGCUCGAGCUUCCGCUAUUUUUAGUCUUACUUUCAUCAUCUCCUUCCUCAUUGUUCUUGCCUGAAGGAUCAAACUUCAAACCAUCACAAUUCUGAUCACUUCCCGGCAUCAUAAUUCAAUAUAGCUGACUUGGAGCUGUAAGGAGGACAACGAGAAGCUUCUAUAUAUAUUAGAGAAAUUAUUAUUGACUCCAAAAAUCAUCACAAACAGUUACCCAGCAGGAACUUCUGGGUUCCGAUAAUUCCUCGACUACAACUUUUCUCUUCAAUCAUCAUUAAUAUUUCAAAUAGAGUUUACAUAUUCCAACAGAAAGUAAUAUUUCAUGAGCUGACAUGCCUAAGAUAUAUCCAUCUGAAAUGUUGAUAUAUACCGAACCCUAAUUAACUCUAAAAAGUCACAGCACAUAGACAUUUUAAUUUCUACACCACUGGCCCCCUAAUUUUAUAUGCAACCACCCACACACACUUAUAUAUACAAUGAGUACUCGUACAUGUGACGCUAUUUAUGUAUGGAAUGGGCAUCAUUCAUGUAAUGUUAACCGUAUAGGUUUGGUAAAGGUUAGAACUGAGAAAUAAAAAAUCCUUAUGAGAGGGGAAAAAUUGCACGGUGUAAAGCGAUCCUAACAGAAUGCCUGGGCAAGCAGUGCACACGCGCAUGGGGAAGCACGUCUAACCUUUUCGAAUCCUGACAUCAUUGAUCGUAUGCAUGGUAAAAAGUAAUAGAAUGUAGUCACCGAGGAAAUGUUACUUCAUUAAGUCCUUCGUGCAUUUUUGUUUUGGCUCCCUGCACCGAGAAAGUGCUUGGAAGAGAAAAUAACACAGGAGCCCUAAAAGUGUAAUUAAAAUGCAAAUGAAAAGAGUCGGGCAUGGGGAAGGCUGACGAGCCCAUGAUUCUUGGUGUCGGUGUUCACGGAUUUGUCUUUGCCUGUAUUUAUAAUAUGACCGUAUACCGAAUAACAACAAGGCUUGUAUUCUUGGCUUCUCCGAGGAUUCCUCAACCUCUAUGUGUCUGAAGUUUUAAUAUUCUGCUCCUGACAUGUCAUCAGAUUCAAUGCUGUUUUCUAAUCCAAACGAGGUAAGACUCAUGAUUCUCGAUCUCUGGCACAAACAUUCAUGGCAUUCUAUAAGGGUUGGGGGUUUAUCUAAAUGCAUUGAGCAGGAAAAAAAAAUCUUCGGUAAAAUGGUUCAGAUACUGGUAAAGACCAAUUUAAGAUGAAACCGAGGAACUAAAUUUUAAGUAAUAGCCAUCCACUGGAGCUAGACGAUGCUCGGACAAAGGUUAACUACAUGUCAGAGUCAUCACUAAUUGCAAUUCACAUAGAUCUUCCCAUGCAAAUGAACCUGGAAUCCGAUUUGUUUGUUCCAGCUGGCAUGCAAUCAGUAUUGAUCAUCACUUGCAAGUAUACCAUGCGAUCGAUCCAAGGGUACUGACAUAAAUUAUAAUUCCAUCUCUGCCUCACGCUUCGAGCUUCUGCUUGAGCAACUAACAAAAAAGGAAAAUUUUAAUUCACAUUCGCCUGACUAAAUUGAUUUCAUUAAAUUAAGGAACUCAGCCCUAAACUGUCAUCAAUUGAUUAAUUCAUCAAAUGUUCAUGGAUUUGCUCUCCCAGUACCGUACUAAUUGCAAGAUUCAUGAUAACCACUGGACCGGCUAAAUGCCUAAAUAUAUAUUAAUUAAUUAAUCCUGUCGCACAUAAACCUGAUUACUUCUUCACAGUUUUUUUUUUUUUUACUAUGAGAUUUGAAUUUAACUUUGAGGGUCUCGAUUUUAAAUUUUUAAUCAUCGAAUCAAUAUAUGCCCUAUUGGCAAAUAUUUAUAAUCAUUUAUUUGGUUCUCAUGAGCAUUGUACGUAUGUUAAUUAAUAUAUUGUUUUUUUCUCGUGAUAUUCCUUAAUAGAAUUAGCAUACCUGAUUAAUUAACUAAUCAAACGCGGAUAGAUAGCGACUAGAACUUGAUUUUCAGAAUUCUUUUAUCAAGAUUUUGAAUUAUUAUCAUGCCAAGAUGCGUCUUUCAUAAGACCUACCAUAUCAUCACAAACUUACAAUCAUGUUAAUUAUAUAUAUAAACUCUGUGCUUAGCAGAAAUACUUCGAAGAACUGGGCCUUUUGUGGUUAUCAAAAGGUUGUCUAUAGACUUAAGUCUUUCAUGUGGAUAUAAAACUGGUGUUGCUUGUGUUUUCUGUUCAUUGAGACUUGAGAAGAUUAGAUCACUGCAGUGCAGAGGUCAACUCCCAACAAUUUAUCCCAUUAUUCUAUUUGCUGCAGGCCUCCAAGAGCAUAAAUAUUUUAUUGCAUGAGAGCACAUAACCCUACUAACGCGGAUCGAACCAUUAUUUCAGAAUGAGCAUAUUUGUCUUCUUUCUAUCAUCAUCAGACAUGCACCCCUCUAUUAAUUUUUAUGUCCAUCAUAGUACUGCAAAAUCUUUAUUAUUGCUAUUUGUAAUCAUGCUGGGAGGAUUACGCAUCUCCACAUCAUGCCAUGCUCAGCUAGAGCUAAUGGAGAGCUUCGUUCAGUGUUUCGCAUAGUGAUUGAAAAGUGUUUUUGAAAAUUUUAAAUUUUAUUUUUUAUUUUAAAUUAAUAUAUUUUUUAUAUUUUUAGAUUAUUUUUAUAUGCUAAUGUCAAAAAUAAUUUUUAAAAAAUAAAAAAAUUAUUUUAAUAUAUUUUAAAAUAAAAAACACUUUAAAAAAAACUAUUAUCACAAUUUCAAAUUCCUCUUAAUCAAACUCCAGCCGUUCCGAAUUAUAUAAGUAAAGACGAUGGAGGGUUGGAAAAUUAAGGUUAGUUGAUCUAAACUUGUCUCCGGUCUAAGGUCCAACCUGGAAGAGGAUCCAGAUCAUUAAGUUAUCGGUCAAUAGGUAAACCAUGUCUCUACAUGAAGUUCUUUUGGGCCGGGCCCUUGCCACUGAGGUUCAGAGUACGGCAAAGUCAUAGUUGCAUGUAUCAUCAAGUUGAAGCCCUUGGGCAACAUUUUGGGCUACUUUGCUGCCAUGGGAGCCUGGCACACAUCAAAUGAUGAGAUCUUUGACUCCGUAUGUAUGUAUGUGUAUUCAUGUAAGAAAUUAUAGACAGCAUGAAUCGCAUUUAAAAAACAAAUAAAUGUAUUUUCUUAGUUUAAGGAAAAUUACUACGCAAGUCGGUUUUUUAUAUAAACUACGAGGAGUUUAGAAAUGCAGUGAAGAUAAUUUUUUAAAGUGAUUUUUUUAGAAAUAUAUUAAAAUAAUAUAUUUUUAAAUUUAAUUUUUAUAUCAAUACAUCAAAACAAUUUGAAAACAAAAAAAUAAAAAAAUAAAAAAUAAUAAUUUUUAAUAAUUUUUUUCAAAAAUAUUUUAAAACACAAAAAUAAAAUGCUUCCAAAUAGAAAAUUAUCACCCACCGCUAUAGCAAAUGGUUUCGAUCCAUACAAAUAAGGUAAUGAAAUAUUUUUUUAUUUCAUGGGCUUGAAUAUCGUUCGUGUAUUUGGAAUUAAAACGCCUACUUUGUAACAUGGGCCACAUGCAUCAUGAUGGUGUGAUCAAUGGACUACGUUUUGGGCUUAAGUAUCUCCUCGGUUUUCAUGUACAAGGCAAACUCCAGUUUGUUUGUUAAAAAAACAAAAUUUCUUUUUUCGUUUCUAUUUUUAUUUCCAGUAUAGAUUGAAAGAUUGUUCAUUUGUUGAGAAUUAAGAGAAAUGUUUUGAAAAAAUAAAAUAAAAGGCAAAUUAAAAUUAUAACUAUUUUUCAUAAGAAAUCAUGAUUAUGAUUAAUUUAUAAUUAUCAUCUUAAUAUUUUAUGUUUAUGAUAUCUAAUUAUAAAAUUUUAUUUUAUUUUAUUCAAAUUAAAAAUUAAUUAUGAAAAGGUUUUAUUAUUAACUAAUAAAAAAUAAAAUCUUUAUAUUAUAAUUAUAUUAAAAUUAAUUCUAUGAUACUAGCUAAAUAUAAAAAUAUAUAAGAAAUAAUUUUAAUAUUAUACAUUGUUAGAAAAUGCUUGCAUGUAUAAUAAAAACUCAUCUAUAUUUUAUAUGAUUUUUUUCUUUGCUUAAAAAUCAGUGAAAAACUUGUAAAUAAAAACUAUAAAAAAAAACUUAGAUAUAUUUUUUAAACUUAAUACAAAUUUAAAAAAUGAAAUAGAAAAACAUUACAUUUUAACAUAAAGUUUUAAUUUCUCUUUUUUUAGCUCCAUUCUUAAAUAAAAUUAAAAAAUUAAUUUUUUUAAAUCGAUGUCCAUUUAGGGAAUGUUUAGCAUGGCUUCAACUUUUUUUAGAUGCUUUAUAAAAGUAAUUUUGACUUGAAAAUAUAUUAAAUUAAUAUUUUUUUAGUAUUUUUUAAUAAUUUUAAUACACUAAUGUAAAAAUAAAAGAAAUAUUUUAACAUAUCUUUAAAAAAUUUAUUUUAAAAAGUAUUAUGCAUCGCAGUGUUUGUUUUUGCAUUAAAAAAAUGUUUUUGAAAUUGUUUUUUCUUCAUAUUAUUUUUUUUAUAAUUUUAGAUUAUUUUAAUAUUCUGAUAUUAAAAAUAAAUGUUAAAAAAUAAAAAUAUUAUAUUUUAAAAUAAAAAAUAUUUUUAAAAACAUUAACUAAACCUACUUAAAAACUUAGCCUCUGCAGACGGGAAAAAAAAAGAGAAAGAAAGAAAGCUGAGUAGAUAGCAUUGUUCAUCCUAGUUGUCUCAGAGACUAUAAUGUCAAAGUCCAAAUAAAGAAUCAGGCCUCAUUUGUUUGAUGGAAAUUGAUUUUCUGAAAAUCACUUUCUGAAAAUCACUUUCGAAACUUUCAUAUGUUUGUUUGUUAUUAAGAACAUUGAUCAAUGAAAAAUACUUUUCAGUCCAGGAAAAAUUUGGCUUGGUUUUCAGGAAAGUGUUUUCCUUUUAUUUUAGACAGAAAACACUUUCCGAAAAUUGUGAAAAAUUUAGAAAUAUCAUAUUAUUUGCUGAUUAUAUUAAUUUUUGUCCUCAAACUUUUGACUGCUAUAUAUAUUUUGCUUUGAAUAUUUUUUUUUUCAAUUUCAUCCCUUAGAAUUUGAUUUUUAUAUUAAUUCUAGUCCUCAUUUUUAUAAUUGUUAUUUUUUUUCCUUUAUCAUUUUUUAAUUGAAAUCUUUUAUCUAUCAAAUUUGAUCAUCAUUCUUUUGAUUAUUACUUAUUUUAUUUGAAAUAAUUUAUGAAAUGGUAAUUAUUAUUAUUUUAAUUUAUUCAUCUUUUAAAUUUUUUAUUUAUUAGAUUUGAUCUCUAUUAUUUUGAUUAUUAUUUAGUUUAUUUAAGAUAAUUUAUGAAAUUAUAUUUUUUUUCAAUUUCAUUCUUAUUUAAUUUUUUAAUUUGUAAGAUUUUUUUCUUAUUAUUUUAAUAAAAUUAAAAAAAUAAAACAUUAAUAAAUUAUUUUCCAGCUCAUUUACCAUGACAUAACCAAACACUAAAAAAUAUUUUUCAAUUUAUUUUUUAUUAUACUAUAAAAUAUUAAAAAAUAAAUUACUUUUCUAAAAUUUACUUUUCAAAACUAAUUUUCAUAAAACAAAUAUUCCUUAAGCUUGUUAGUUGUCUCGAAAUAAUUAAAUUGAAUCUGAAAUCCCAAAAAAGUAUACAGUGUUCCUAAAAGUCUCAACGACAAGCGUCGAGGACAAUAGCGUAAAUCAGAAUAGAAGCGUUCGGUACUACGAUGGCAUGAUCCUCUCAGUAGUCAUCAUUUGAACACGUCUCCGCUAAUCUUCGGUCUGUCGCUGCCUCCUCACCAUCAUAAAAAAAAAAAAAAACAUCCAAUAGACCGACACCUUUGUCUUUCUGUGGUAUCUAACCACCGCCAUUAGAUUUUUACUCAAUUGUACAGCUCCUAUGAACCCGACAACCUAUUUUAUCCUCUUCGAUUAAUGCUUUCAACAUUCUAAGUUUCAAGCUUUUCUUAUGCUUUCUCCGACUUGAAAUCCAAGUUUUCCUGUUUUGACUGCAGAGAAAGUGAGGAACUUAAAAGUAAGGAACAUAUUUUUUUUAUUCUUUGCUCAAAUAAGACUUUUAGGAUAAACUGCUAUCUUGUUUUCCGUCUUGACUUCAGUUAUAAUUAACUUUCUUAUUCAGUAUUAUUAAAGCAAAUAUGUAAACGAAGACUUGAAAGUUUAUUUCUCUUUCGGUUUUUUUUUAUAUAUAUAUUUGCAGUUUCUUUGCAGCCAAACAGGAAAUUGGCCAUCUGGGUUUUUUUUAGGGUCCAUUUUCUGGUGGAUAGAGCUGAAGAAAUGGCCUCUGCUCAUGCAUUUAGUUCACUAUCUAAAGUUUCUCCUGUAUUUUCUCUUAAAAAAGGGUACUGGAAUUCAUGUAUGAAACCUUGCUGUAUGGUUUCUACCAUAAUUUGCAACUACCAAACGCCUAAAAGGCCCGAUUUUGUUGUUGCAAAGACUACUAAAGUUAGAGAAUUUAGGCUAUUUAAGUCAGUGGAAUUGGACCAGUACGUGACGAGUGAUGAUGAAGAAGAAAUGGGUGAAGGGUUUUUUGAGGCAAUUGAGGAACUUGAGAGAAUGACAAGAGAACCUUCUGAUAUUCUUGAGGAAAUGAAUGAUAGGUUGUCCGCGAGAGAGUUGCAAUUAGUGCUUGUUUAUUUCUCUCAAGAGGGGAGAGAUUCCUGGUGUGCGCUUGAGGUGUUUGAGUGGUUGAGAAAGGAGAAUAGGGUCGACAAGGAAACAAUGGAGCUUAUGGUUUCGAUAAUGUGUAGUUGGGUUAAGAAGUUAAUUGAAGGGGAACAAGAUGUUGGGGAUGUGGUUGACUUACUUGUGGAUAUGGAUUGUGUGGGGUUGAAGCCGAGUUUUAGUAUGAUUGAGAAGGUGAUAUCUUUGUAUUGGGAUAUGGGGAAGAAGGAGGGAGCGGUUUCAUUUGUGAAGGAGGUUUUGAGACGAGGGAUUGCAUAUUCGGGCGAUGAUGGAGAAGGACAGAAAGGAGGCCCAACUGGGUAUCUUACAUGGAAGAUGAUGGUAAGCUUCUGUCAUAAUCAAUUCUUACCACUUUGUUCAGAUUAUCUUUAUAGAAUUGGCUAGCUGCUGUUGUUUGCCUUUCCCUUUUGUGCUCAUGUUUUGGACUACAUAAAAGAUGUAGAUAUACGAUGGUUUUAAGUGAAAGAAGUGUUGUCCUUAUCUUUAUCACAUUGAAUUGCCAGGAUAUAAACCGUGGAAUAUACUGACCUCUUUAUUGAUUGAUUUUCUAGAAUACAAUGGUGGAAUGUACUCAAGCUUGGUUGUAACUUGUUAGUCCAAUUUGCUAUUUAUGAAUGUUUGAAUUUUCCUUUGUCGUGUUAUUGAUGUUGUGUAGCAACUUUCUAUAGCAAUGUGAAUUUAUCUUAAUGGCAUGGCCGUGUUUGUGAGUAGUUUUUUCUUUGUUGUGGUACUUCAAAUCUACGUUUAGAUGCUUUAUUGUGCAAACAAAAGUUAUGCUAUAAAGCUGAGAGUUAAAUUAUUAAGCAUCAAAUGUGUAGAUUUAAAUUGUUUAUUAAUGUCAUGUAUAUUGUUCUGCUUUACUUCCAAGAAGGCUGAGCUAUAUAGAAGUUGAAGUGCUGAACUUGUGGACAGAAGUCUUCUUUUGUUUCUCAACAAUGAAGGCCAAGCUUAUGAGAUUAUAAUCACCUGCCUGCUUUUAUUUAUGUCUCCAUGUCGCAUUUACUUGUUGUUUAGGCUGAUUGUCUGUCAUAUAUGUGGGUAAUUAAGCCAGUUAUUGAUCUUUCUACGUUUAUUUUUUCCAGUAUGCUAUAAAAACCCAUAAAUUUUUAUGUGAAUGACAACUUGGAAUCUAUUUCAGGUUGAUGGAAACUACAGGAAUGCAGUCAAAUUGGUGAUUCAUCUUAGAGAAUCUGGAUUAAAGCCUGAGAUCUACGCCUACCUCAUUGCAAUGACAGCUGUUGUCAAAGAGCUAAAUGAAUUUUCUAAAGCUCUACGCAAGUUGAAAGGUUAUUCGAGGUCUGGUAUGGUAACUGAACUUGAUGCUGAGAAUGUAGAGCUUGUUGAGAAGUAUCAGUCAGAUCUUCUAGCUGAUGGAGUAUGCUUGUCCAGUUGGGUCAUUCAGGAGGGAAGUCCUGCACUUUAUGGUGUGGUUCAUGAGCGACUUCUUGCCAUGUAUAUUUGUGCUGGCCGUGGGCUUGAUGCUGAAAGACAGUUAUGGGAAAUGAAGCUUGUUGGUAAGGAGGCUGAUGGAGACCUUUAUGACAUUGUUUUAGCUAUCUGUGCAUCUCAAAAGGAGGCCAGCGCCGUAGCACGGUUGCUCACUAGAAUAGAGGUUGCAAGCUCUAUGCGCAAGAAGAAAUCAUUGUCAUGGUUGUUGAGAGGUUACAUUAAAGGUGGACACUAUGGUGAGGCUGCAGAAACACUAAUUAAGAUGCUUGAUUUGGGUUUGUCUCCAGAUUAUUUAGACAGAGUAGCGGUGAUGCAGGGUCUGAGAAAAAGGAUCCAACAAUGGGGAAAUGUUGAAUCUUAUCUUAAGCUUUGCAAGCGCCUCUCUGAUGUGAAUUUGAUUGGACCUUCUCUUGUAUAUCUGUAUAUAAAGAAAUAUAAGCUUUGGAUCAUGAAAUUGCUUUGAGUGACCCCUCGAGUGGAAUGAGGCCUCAAGAGGCUUUUGAAUCUGGGUUUGUGAUUGUGAUGAAAGCAAGGUUUAUAGAGUCUAGAAUUCACAACACCACCAUUAUUAUAAAUACCUUCGAAUGAGAAGAUUGUGUACAUUGAUUGGGAUGGCUUCACGGAGGUGCAAGAAUAUGGGUAGAGAGUCUAUGAUGCCAAAGCGGAUUUUGUCUCCACUAUUUUGUUCUCUAGGUCCUGUAGCUGUUUGUGUAUGUGAUAGAUGCUGUAAACAUAAUAAAGAACAUUCAACACAAUGUAACCAAGCUGCGUAUAUAUCUUACAGGUAUAUUCUUAUACUAGGAGCCCUCUCCAUCACACUCUUCAUUAUUUUGCAAACCAAGAUCUCUAUCUAGCUUUUGCUGCACUUGUUGACAAGUACCAAGUAACACUGGUCAGCCUUGAUUUGAACUGCAGUAGCCGUACAUGCAUAUUGUAUCAUGGCAAAAAUAGGAUUCAGUGAAGACUACUUGGAAUGAUGAAGUAUGCUUUUACUUCAAUUAUGUUUGGUUGCAUCUUUAUAAAUUAUUAAAUGUGAUCUCGGUGAUGAGUUAUGAUCAUUGACACUAGCCUUUUCUUACUUCAUAGCUGAAUACCUAACUGAACAUCUGGACUAGUUAUUGGCUCGCAUAUGUAAUGAUAUGAUCUGCAAUGUUCAAAAUCUGUCACUCGGAGCCAGUAUGUUUACAGAAACUGUCAUGCUUCCGGUUCUGCCAAACUAUUGCUGGACAUGGUGGACAAGGAACAGGAACUUCAUUCUCCGUGUUUGCUGUUAGAUAUUCUCUAGGAUCAGGGUUUCUUUAUUAAUUCUAGUUAGGCCUUGAUAUUAUCUUACAGAACUUCUGAAAACCUAACCAAGAAUAAAAAACUUGGCAAUGUUAAAGCUUUGGGACCGUGAACUUGUAUAUCGGCAGGGAAUUUAUUUAUAUCCAGUAUAGGUUGGGUUUGGAUAAGCUAUACGGUGUUGAGAACCCCCUUGUGGGCCAUUUGAUUUGUGAAAUGCACUUGGUAGUGAAUCCUUCACAAGAUACGGUGGCCGCAUCUUUUGCUGCCCCUUUUACAUGUUCGAAGGUUGUCAAUAUGGUGGCAGAACCACCAGGUGGGUGAGUGGCGAAGUUGGGAUUAAUUUCUAUAAUGAGAGCGGGAGAGCAGAGCCAUAUAAGGUUGUAAUUUAUGUUCAGUCUUUUUUGGUAAACUUUGUAUGAUUAAUAAUUGUUUUUCCCCAUUAACGCUCAUACCAUUGCUUUCGUUCUUUCCUGUCGCUCUUUUGUACGCAUGCAAAUUCUUAGCUCCACUGAAAAUGUGUAGCCAACCUAUAACCUAAAUACCAUUAUGUUUUGUAUGAUACAGUUCGCUACAAAAUCUUUCAAAUUAUUUUUCGCGAAAAUCUCAUCCAAAUGAAUUGGAUUGGAUUCUUCUCGUAUAUACAGCAUUUUUUUUUUUUUGAAAGUGAGGACAUGGGGUUAAUUACAUUACGUGUCCCUAAAGAUUUAGACAUCAGUUAUUUUAACCCUUGUACCAUAAUUUUAGGCGUGUUCCGCUCGUGGUGAUCACAUGCUCAUGCGGUCUCUCGAUGACACAACUCGUGUUCAUCGGAAUUAGACUAACGAUAUUGCUUGCAGUGUAAAUUUUUUAAAUUUAUUUUUAUUUAACUAUACGAUAAUAAAAAAAUUAUAAAAAAUGCAGAUAAAAUUAGGAAGAAAAAAUAAUUUUCAUCAAAAUUGUAUUCAUGUAAUUUUUUUUACAACAAUUUUUUUUUUAAUUAGCAAUAUAUCUCAUUAAAUAAAAUAUAAUAACAAUAUAAAAAAAUAUUCUAAAAAAAUUAUAAUGAUUUGAAAUAAAUAAAUAAAUAUUUUUAAUUAAACCCUAAUUUUUUAUUCCUAUAUUUCUUUUUUUAUUUUGAUAAAAGCAUGAUUUUUAAGAAAAGUAUUGUUUUUUAAGUAAAACUUUAUUGUGAUUAUAAAAUAAAGUUUCAAUUAAAAAAUCAUGAAUAAAUAUUUUUAUGCACCUAUAUGAAAAAAUUAAGGAAUAGUAAAUUUGAGAAAUUAUAUAAAAAUUUAAAAUAAAAAAUAAAUAUUUUAUUCUCAUUGAAUAUUAAUGAGAAUAUUAUUUUAAUUUCAUUCAAUAGUAAUGAGAAGAUUAUCAUAUUUUUUUUCAUAUGAAGUUAAUACAUAACUAUUUAUAAAAUAAUAACUAACAUCAUCAUAGAAAAAACCCUAAUUCUCUUAAAAACAGUGACAUGAUUGGAUAGUUCCUUAAAUAUUACUUUAAUAAAUUGACUUGAAGAUUUUUUUAUCAAAAAAUAAAAAUAAAGAAUAAGGAAAAAAUAAAGGGACACUUAAGUAAAAAGCGAAAUGUGUUUGCCUUAAGAUAAAAAAUUUAGGCGCACACCACUGGAAGGCUAAUCCUAUGCCCUUAGGCUUUUAUUUUCAACAACCAAACAGCACAUUAUUUAUCUUUAUAUAUAUAUAUAUAUUGCCUACCAAGUAGAUAACAUAUAUAUCUUUUAGUUGAUUUUUUAUUAAAAAAUCAAGAUUUGAGUUUCGAGAACCUAAACAUUUUCAACCUUAUUUAUUUAAAAUACCCUAAAAAUAUCACAAAACCUCAAGGAAAUCAUGUCAAAACCAAAAAAAAAAUAUAAUCACUCUAAAAACCAAUUGGAUAAAAAAAAAUUACAAAUCUCGAUAUACUUUUUAUGACAUAUCUAAAGAAAACACAAUUUCCACUGAACUCCUCUUUUAAUUACAAAACAAUUGACACCGACAUCGAGUUUUUCAAAGCCAGAACAUGGUCAGCCAAACACUUCCUCUUUUCUUAUUUUUUUUCUAUAAUUUUUUCUAUUUGCUCUUAAAUUUAAGGACUAAAAUAUAAAAAAAAUAAAAUUUAGAACUUAAAUACAAAAACCUCGAAACACAGGGACAACAAAAAAACUACAUGGCCAAGCUAUAGUUUUACAUGUAUCAUGAACAAUAAAUAGGCAAAAUAUCUAUUUUGCAGUGGUAGCAUUAGUCCUUGUUGUUUUAAUUGUUUUUAAUUAAUAAAAAUAUAUUAUAUUUUAUAAUUUUAAGCUUUAAUUUAAUGUUAGGGUGUUUUUUUUCAUUAUAUUUCAUAGUACACAAACUGUAAUAAAUUAUAAAGAUUAAAUUAAUACCAACAUUGAAAAAAUAAUUUUUUCAAUGAUUUGAAAAAAAAGAGGGUUUGACUCCGCUAAAGUAAGCAGCCACCGCUAAAGUAAGCAGCCACGGCUAAAGGCACAGUAAAAAGUUAAUUCAAUUUUUUAUAAUAUAAUAUAACGUCUGCCAUAUGUUGGCACGUGCACACUUACAAGUGGACGGAUGUAAAACAUAUGAUCAAAUUGAAAAUGUGAGGGAUGGCAUAACCAAACCUGCAGCACGAGUCAAAAUUAUGAAAAUCUAAAAUUUGGAGGACCAGAGUGGGCUCUACCUAGUAUGUGUUUGGAGUUCCGUCCAGCAACGCUUGCAAAAGUUUUUAAUUUUUUUUAUUUGUAUUUAUAUCGUUUUAUACACUAUGUUAAAAAUAAAUUUUUAAAAAUAAAAUAAAAAUAUUAUUUUAAUACAUUAAAAAAAAAUAUUUUCAAAAUCUUUCUUCUCUCUAUUAUUAAGACCCCCCUGUAAAUGUGUGAUUUACCGACAAGUGAUAAGAGGCUUGUUUUAAGAUUUAUCACAUGAAGAAGUCUUAAAGCACGUGAACACACUUCUUGUCUGACUAGGACUGUUUCAGGCUGCGCAUAUAUUCUGCUUUCUCAUUGUCUUCUUUUUUUAUUCCGAGCUUGCAUGGUUUUUCCAGGCUUGUUGUGUCCACUCCACCCAUGGUAAUCCAUUGGAGGCUCGUAGUGAAAGGAGCAUCCUAGUAUAAUUUUCUUUUUUAUAUAUAUAUAAAAUAAAGGAUUGGCUUAGAUCCAAUGUACCUAACCAUCAAUACUUUGGUCUAUACGUGUUCUCCUUUUUCAAAUUCCUGAGCAGUGAUUGGUCCUCUCACAUGACAUGUGCACGUGUCGGGUUAGAAGACCUUGCGGCUUAAUAUAUCUAGAUGAUGUAAUAUAUGCAAAUCUGAAAUUGGGAUUUACGCUGGAGUGGAACUAAAAGAAUAGGUGAGAUGAAGACAUUUCACCAGGCAACCAAGCUCGUAUUUGGAAGCAAUGGAUGAUGGAACAAUGCAUCUUGUCUUCUAAAUAAUUAUUUGAACGUGUAAACAAACUUAUCAAGGAAGGAGGGUGCUGGAAGUUCAUAAUUAUCAAUUAUGAUUUUAAAUUCUGUUUUCUGUCAUCAAAUAACAUCAUCUUUAAUGAAUGGUGAAGUUUGCUUGCAACAACAAUGUUCUUGGAGCGCAAGUGUGAUUUGCUCAUGUGACUGUAAUCCAUCAGCAGAUCCAGUUCCAUUGACUAUUCUUUUCAUCAAUUCUCUAAAAUAACCUUUAAUGGGGCAUUAGGUUAAUGCUAGAUGAUCACUCCAAACCAAGGAGAGAGAAUCUUCAAAAUGAAUCCUAAUUAAUUAUGUUUAAGGAUUUACCUGGGUCAAAUUAAAAGAUUUAAUUAGGUGUGAGGAUUUGAUUAUACUUUUAAUGGGUUAAAUUAAUUUUAUCAGGGACUUAAUUGAUGAUAAAUUAAGUUUAAAAGUCCAGUUUGAAAUUGAUGUUUCCCUAGGGGGGGGGGAAAGAGCUGAUAAAGAUGUGGAUCUGUUUGGUAUUGAUUUGACGCAAGAACCUACUUUAUUAUUAUUAUUAUUAUUAUUAUUGAUUCAUAAGAUUUACUCCAAAGCUCCACGCCUUUGCUUAGCAGACAAAUUUGGGGCUGCUAAUAAAAUCCGCAAUCACAAAUGGAAGGAAAAGCAGCUUGAUUAACCUAAAAUACCCUUCCCCUCUAGCGUUGACCGUUGAUGUUGAUAUUGAUGUGGCAAAGAUGGAGUGGUUGUUGAGUGCAGAACAGAAACUCAUUAGCACUGGAGGGAGCCACCAAAUCAACCAAAAACUUUCAGGUCACCAAAACAGUCGAAGAGGGGCCUACUGCAACUGUAUAUCCGGUGAGAGAGAUAGAAAGAGAGAAAGGACACACACAACUCUCACAGGAAUCUAUUCCAUAAAAGAAAAGGAUAACAUGUCCAUAGUCUAGAAUCCCAAAACUCUCCUCCUUUUUUCUCAAGAACCAAACACCAUUUUUAGCCUAACGGCCUGUCUCUGUCUCCCCUCUCUGGUUUUUCUACUUUGGAGUUGUUUCCACUCUGCAGUCUAGAGGUAUUAAUUAUAUAACGUUUACAAAUAUUUUCUCGUUAAAUUCGUCCUUUCUUUUUUGCAUUAACUGUUUAUCUUUAUUUAUCAAAACUUUGCGAAUCUCAUGAUGUUCUAGAUGGAUAGAUAGAUAUAGAGUAAAAAAUGCAUGGUUUUAAGCUCCUUGAUAGAUUCAAGAGCACCCAAGUCCAUGCUUUAAGCCCCCAAGAUAGUAACCCCUGUUCAAGAGGCAAACUUUCGAAAUGUAAAUUUACAAACACUGGCUCAGUAGCUCAAGCUUUGCUCCCUUGUGGACUCCCAACAACUGAGCUCCUUGAACCUUCUAUAGACUCUUACUUGAAACCUAUAGACUAUGUGGAAUCUUUAGCUGAAAUUUAUAGACGCCUAAAUACCUGCUCGCAAACCGAUAAAUCAUUAUUAUGCAUCGAGCAGUUUUCGAUUUUGCGAGGAUUAGGUGAUCCUAAGUUGCUUAGAAGGUGCCUUUGCGCAGCAAGGCAAUAUGCUAUUGAUGUGCACUCAAAGGUUGUGCUUUCUGCCUGGUUAAGGUUUGAGAGGAGAGAAGACGAGUUCAUUGGUGUGUCAUCAAAGGAUUGUAGUGGGUACAUCCUUGAAUGUCCUAUGGCUGCUUUGGUUUCUGGAUGCGAUCCCAAUUCGAUUUAUGAUCAUUGCCAAUGCGGUCAAGAUAAUCUUGAGGCGGUUGAUAAUCAAAUAUUGAUGGGAAAUGAAGGCUCCAGUUUGGAGGAGGAUAGUGAUGUUUCAUUUUGCAUUGGUGAUGAGUUGGUUCAUUGUGUUAGAUUCAAAAUUGCUUCUCUUUCGAGCCCAUUUAAGGCAAUGCUAUAUGGUAGCUUUGUCGAGUCAAGAAGAGAUAAGAUUGAUUUUUCAAAGAUUGGGAUAUCUGUCAAGGGGAUGAGAGCUGUGCAAGUGUACAGUAGGACUGGGAGAGUUGAUUUAUUUUGCCCUGAGAUUGUUUUGGAGUUGCUUUCUUUUGCAAACAGGUUUUGUUGUGAGGAGUUGAAGUGUGCUUGUGAUGCUCAUUUGGCUUCAUUGGUCUGUGGGACUGAGGAUGCGUUGAUUCUUAUCGAUCAUGGCUUGGAGGAAAGGGCAAAUCUUCUCGUAGCCUCUUGUUUGCAGGUGUUUCUAAGAGAGCUCCCAAAUUCUUUGUAUAACCACAAAGUGAUGAGUGUUUUUUGUAAUUCAGAGGCAAGGGAGAGAUUGGCCAUGCUGGGCCAUGCUUCCUUCUUGCUCUAUUAUUUCCUGAGCCAGGUUGCCAUGGAGGAGAAUAUGGCAUCAAACGCAGCAGUGAUGUUAUUGGAGGGGCUGGAAGAGUUUGCAACAGAAAAGUGGCAGAAGGCACUUGCUUUGCAUCAACUGGGUUGCGUAAUGCUCGAGAGAAAAGAGUACAAGGGUGCCCAAUUCUAUUUUGAGGCAGCUGUCGAGGCAGGUCACGUUUAUUCAUUAGCAGGUGUUGCAAGGACCAAGUACAAACAAGGGCAACAAUAUUCGGCAUUUAGGUUGAUGAACUCUCUUAUUUUCAAGCAUAAACCAGUUGGGUGGAUGUACCAAGAGCGAUCUCUGUAUGGUGUUGGACAGGAGAAGAUAAUGGAUAUGAAUACUGCAACUGAACUGGAUCCAACCCUUUCAUUUCCAUACAAAUUCAGAGCUGUUAUGAAGGUGGAAGAGAAGCAGAUUAGAGCAGCUAUCACAGAGAUUGAUAAAAUUAUCGGCUUCAAGCUCUCACCUGAUUGUCUUGAGUUGAGAGCGUGGUUCUUCAUUGCUCUUGAGGAUUUUGAAAGUGCUUUGAGAGAUAUUCGAGCACUGCUAACCUUGGAACCAAAGUACAUGAUGUUUCAUGGGAGGGUGAGUGGAGAUCACUUGGUUGAGCUUCUCAGCCAUCGCAUUCGGCUAUGGAGUCUGGCCGACUGCUGGAUGCAACUUUAUGAACGAUGGUCUUCUGUCGAUGACAUUGGCUCUCUGGCUGUCUUACAUCAGAUGCUGUCAAAUGAUCCUGCAAAGAGCCUACUGUGGUUUCGGCAAUCUUUGCUUCUUUUGCGGUAAGUUUUGUGAUGGAACAAUUUUUUAUUUUGCUCAUGCAGCUGUACUAUUUAUGCAGAAUAAUCAUCAAGUUCGACUUCUAAAUCGGUGUCUGCAAUCUUUGGAAACCUGUCAUCCCUUGGAUGUUUUUGUGCAGCAAUCUUGUUUAUCUUUCCAUCAAGAUAAUAUACUAGUAUCCAAGCCGAAAACACAAUCCUUUCAUACAUGUUAUCUUAUAAACUCAUCCAAUUCACUCCACGAAUGUUGUCAAAAAUAAAGUGAUCCUAUAUUUAUUUUUUCUUAAACUGAUAUAAUGAUACUAAAUCAGCUCAUCAUUUUUUUCUCCAUGAUCAUACUUAUGCACUUCUGAAACAAGGAAGGUGUUUUUCCUGUCCAUGUAUUAUAACGAAUUUGGUCUUGUCUUGUAGCUGUCUGGCCUUGUUAUAUUCAAUAGCUUAUAUUCAAUAGCAUGAAAUAUACUGGAUACCUCAAUGCACCAGGUUAAAUUGUCAGAAGGCUGCAAUGCGCUGUUUGCGGUUGGCUAGAAACCAUACCAGUUCUGUGCACGAAAGGCUGAUAUAUGAAGGAUGGCUUUUAUUCGACUCUGGCCAUCGUGAAGAAGCUCUCUCUAGGGCUGAGAAAUCCAUUUCGAUCCAAAGGUCAUUUGAAGCUUUCUUCCUUAUGGCAUAUACAUUAGCUGAUACGAAUCUGGAUCCUGAAUCUUCAUCUACUGUCAUCCAACUUCUGGAGGAAGCUCUUAGAUGCCCUUCAGAUGGUCUUAGGAAAGGACAAGUGAGUAGUGACUAUAUCAGUAUGUUUCUCUUAUGGCCAUCUGUGCUCGAUGUCCUUGUUUGAUAUGAGUGUCGGCAUUUUGCAGGCAUUGAAUAAUUUAGGAAGUAUUUAUGUGGAUUGUGGUAAGCUGGAUCAGGCUGCAGACUGCUACAUGAAUGCCCUUAACAUCAAACAUACAAGAGCCCAUCAAGGUCUAGCGCGUGUCUAUCAUUUAAAAAAUCAACGAAAAGCUGCAUUUGAUGAGAUGACCAAGUUAAUAGAGAAGGCACAUAGUAGUGCAUCAGCAUAUGAGAAACGAUCAGAAUACUGUGACCGUGAGAAGGCAAAAGAUGACCUUAAUAUGGCAACACAACUGGAUCCUCUAAGAACAUACCCAUACAGAUACAGAGCAGCAGGUAAUCAUCACCACUCCGUUUUGGAAAUUCUGCCUCCUUUCUAUGCAACUCCUCAAAAGUUCUCACGGUUAUUCCAAUGUCAUUCCAUUGACUUCAUCUUUCUUCCCUUUGCUUGAACACAAUUAUUACAUGUAAAAUCUAUACUUCUACUGACAUGAAGAAUCUCUUAUUCCCAGUGCUAAUGGAUGACCAAAAGGAAACUGAAGCUUUAGAAGAGCUUACUAAGGCCAUAGCUUUCAAGCCUGAGUUGCAAAUGCUCCAUCUUCGAGCGGCAUUUUAUGAAUCAAUGGGAGACAAAACCUCUGCUCGUCAAGAUUGUGAGGCAGCUCUCUGCCUGGACCAAAACCACACGGACACACUUAAUCUGUACAAUAGAACACAGGACCAAGCUACAAGAAGCAUUUAAGUUACACCAAUGUCAUUGAUGUAGAAUGGGGACUUCAACAAUAAUCAAGGGGGACAGCCACGCCGAUCAUUUUUUUUAUUAUUGGAAAUCAUGGUCUAUCAGGCAUCCAGGGACAAAUUCAUCCCAUCAAUGAGAAGGACAGACCGCGUCAAGGAGCAAUAAUGAGCUCAUUUGUACAUAUAUGAUAUAUCUUUAUGGUAUUGAUGAUGGAUCUAGAAAAGCGUGUGCCAACGGCCCAUGGACAAUGUCACUAGCAGAUAGUUAUGUACAGCCAUGGCCACAUGAUCAGUAAGCGGAAUGGGAUUGAGGCCGAAAGGGUUUUGCUGCAACUUCUUGCCAUUGUUUCUCUAGAAUGGUAUAGGUUUCACAAUUUGUAUCUCGUUAGAAACGGGAUUUUUUGGCCCCCUCUUGAGCUCGUCAUGUACAAGAACAAAAGUCAGGAAGGAAUUUAAAUCUCUUUUGUUGUACAUGUGUUUCUUUAUAUUACAGAUAGAAAAGGUGAUGGUAUCGCGUUAACUACUCUUGUAGUCCUGCAUUGCAUUUCUCCAGCUGACCACUUUCUGGCCUCUGCUUUUGUUUUCACCUCAUUUUUUCUCUUCUCUUGUAUUUUCCCAUGCUUACCUUGCAUUUUGGCUGAGUGAGAUCGUAUGUAGUAACUAAAAGGAAUUGGGUUCUGUUUUCAUUGAGAGAUCCUGGGGGCUGAGAUUGCUCUAAGCUCCCCACCACCCCCUAACAAGAAACGCAUAGUGUCAUAAAGAAAGGGUGAUAAGUGUUUGAAGAAUACAGCAGUGGACUUUGACUCAAAUCUUUUCAUCCCGGAGUACUUGAAACUGGUAAUAUUAAAAAAACUGAGCAUUUAUUUAUCUUGCAAGUAUACUUCAGAUACUUGAAUUUUAUACAGCCAGCUUUUGGCAGUGGCAAAAGAACAAAGCAAUGGACAGACCAGAGGUCUCCCUUCCUCAGUUAUAUACAAACAUCAUACUCUACGUUACAUUAGAUACAAGCAUUACCUACCCUAUAAACAACUGCUUCUGAGAGAUCAGCAAGAGAAUCAGGGAAAAUAAUAGUUAAAGGAACAUGAAAAGAACACUUAAAUCCAUAUUUCAGACUUAAGUACUUCUCAACUUCCUUCUGUAGACAUAAUUUCAAGUUCAGCCCACCAAAGGGGUGAUAAUUUUGGUGUUGCUCCAUCAGGUUCCAUUGCUGUGAUCUCUUUUAACUUAGAGGCAAUCUCUUUCAUCGUUGGUCUCUGUUUUGGAUCAGGAUGGAUGCAAUUUCUUAUUACUUCGGACAGUUUCUCGAGCUCAUUCUCUUGGAAAGAUUUUAGAGUUGGAUCCACUAUUUCUUUUAAGGAUCGCUCUCCUCUCAGAUAGUCUGAUGCCCAGUCGGCAAGAGAGCCAUUGUCCACUGCAUAUGGGAUCCUGCCAGUUAUCAUUUCAAACAAAAUUACCCCAAAACUGUAAAUAUUGCCCUCUGGAUCUGAUGUUUGGGAUUCUAAAAGCUCCAUGGAUGCUGAUCCAAUCUUUGCUGCUGUUGCAUCAUUCCCAAAACUGAAAUCUGAUAUUUUAGCUGCAUAGUCUUCAGUCAGAUAUAUUGUCGAUGACUGCAGGUGUUUAUGGGCUAUAGGUGGAGUUAGUUGAUGCAUGUAAUCGAGGCAAUAUGCCAUGCCCAUUGCUAUUCGUAAUCUCAUUCCCCAGUCCAAGUGUUCAGCUUCUUUUACUACAAGAAAUCAAGAAUUCAAUAGUCAUCUAUACCAUAAAACAGUUAUAUAGGUUCAGUCACUGCAAUUUCAACGACUUAUAAAUGGUAUGGUGCAUUAUGCGGUCUACUUAAUGAAGUAGAUCAGCUGCCUGUAUAGAGCUGCAGAAAAAUAUAAGGAUACGAAUAUGAUUUGCAGUUCCUAGAGGGUACCAAAUGGAUAAGAACAAUCCAAUUCUUCUUUUGAGAUGCAUAUUUCAGCUCUAUGAAAGAAAAAAAAAUCAACACUAUUGUUCAUAGAUUGAACAAGAGCCGGUACUGAUUUUUUCUUCACAGAUAUGAUGAGCGCAGUCCUAUAAAAUGCCAUAUUAAUUUGAUGAUCCAACAGAAUGUAACUACAAUCACUUGACCAAUUCAUAUGGAAAUGGAGCACGUAUCAGAAAGGGCAUUAAAAACAUAAUGUACUUACCAUGCAGAUGUUCAAAGAGAGUUCCAUUUGGAGCAUAUUCAAAAACCAUCAUUCUUGUGAAAGGAUCAUUUUCUUCACAAAAUCCAAUAAGGUUCACAAAAUUCUUGUGGUUCAUUUUUGACAAUGUGUCGAUCUGAAAAAAUUAGCAAACGUAGCAUUUAGGGGAGCCCAGAUUAAAUGGAUGAAGCUUAGCAAAUUUCAAUUUCAAGUACCUUCUUUCUGAAUUGUGCUUCUAAAUUCUUCAACCAGUCUUCAUGAGAUCUUACUGCAGUAGACAUCACAGCAAUUUCAACGCCACUUGAUAGUGUCCCCUUGUAUGCCGUGCCAUCUGAAAAGGAGCCAAUUAUGUUACUGAAAUCUUCACAAGCAGCUUCAAGUUCUGAUCUCUUGAGUUUUGGCACACCUGAAAGACACAUUACCAAAAGUGAGGAAAGGCAACAUCGAAUCAAAAUCUAUGCUUGUAUAUUAGUGGAAGCAAUAGAUGAUAGAGCAGUUCUUAAGGAGCAAUGUUAAUCCAGAAAUUUUAUGCCUCUAUGCUUGGAGGUUUCAGGUUGUUGUGUGUGUGCACACGGGUGUGCGGGCACACAUGCGUGAUCCAUAUGAAAAGGAAGAUUGACCUGUUACAAAUGCGUUUUGUAGCUGCCCACUUAGGCCUGUGGCCCAAGGUCUGACAGUGACUACCUUGCUGCUUCUGAAGAAGAAAAUGCCAAUGGCUGAAAUCAAAGCGAACAUAGAGCCAGCAAUAACACCAGCAAUGAGAGCAGUGUGAUGUUUUGACUUUGAUUGUCCCAAAUGAUUUGGACUUGGAGCAGGGACCAUUGACAUCCAAUCACGCUGUGGUGGUACAAUAAAGACACUAGGUGGAUUUUCUGGAGCAGGUGAAGCUGGAUUUGGUGCGAUCAUGGGUGAGGGGGAAGGGGGGAAAGGAAAAGUGGAGGAGUAUUCUGCUGGAGAAAAUGACGGAGACUCUGAAGGAGAUGGUGAUGGGGAAAAUGAUGGUGAUGGUGAUAAAAAUGGUGAGUCUGAGGGUGCCAGUGAUGGUGAUAAUUGAGAUCCUUGAGGAAAAAAAGACGGUGAAGGCGAUGCUUCAGAACCACUUUGAUGUGCUUUAUGACGAUUGUUUGCUAUGGGUGGAUUUGGAGCAGCUGCCACCUGCAGCAGCAUCCGAUGAGCUAUAUUUCCAGAAUGAACAAUGUUCCUAACAAAUAAAAGAGGUGCUGUCAGGAAGCUGGUGGGAAAUUAGUUUAAGUUGAGAACUGAAAGUACUUAACCAUGUUAGUAUAACCCAAUCAAGGAGUAGAUUUCAUGACAAAAAUAGCUGACACCAGGCAAAAUUUUAAGGCACGAAAAGUUGCUUCAUGUUUAGCCUCACAUACACCAGGAGGUCCUCUGUUUGCAUUUGCAAAUUUGGGGGAUGGCAGAAUAAAUCAAAAGCUGAGUUUUAAAUUAUGAUUGUGAGUUUAUUUGAUCUAGAUUUUGUGGCCGUAGCAUUCUCCUAUGAGUUGCUUUUAGCUUUUUCUUCAAGUUAUUAUUUCCAAAGUCGUGAACCAUAACCACCUCCCCUCUCACCAGUCACCCCCUACUCUCCAACUUCUUCUGCUUUGACAUCUCUAAAGUGGCUGCACCAAAGAUCAAUUUGUAGGAAUAACAUAAUAGUACUUGCUUACCAAGUAAAAUCUCUGCAGCAACAAGAAGCUCGUAACUGAUUUUCAUCUGCCUGAACUUCAGAAAGCACCAUAAGCUCAUUUAGUUCAGGAGAUACGCUAUCAAGAAACUUGUUAUUGUCAAGCAAGCUGCAAUAAGAAUCAGAGAUGAUUUAGUCAAACCACCCAAGCUCAAGAGGAAAAUACUGGAGAAUAUAAUCAGCUACAAUGAAUUAACGUACAGGGUAGUCAGUGAUAGAUUAUUUGCGAAGUUCGAAGGAAAUGGUCCACUAAAGUUAUUAUAUCCCAAGUCCAACGCCUCCAGCUCCUUCAAUUCUCCAAUCUCUCUAGGAAUGUUUCCGUAGAAAGAAUUGUUGCGUAGAUUGCUGUAUGGAAAAUGUGAAUUAGAUAAACUCUGUAAAAUGGUUUCCAAAAUCAAAUCCAGGCUGUGGUUUAAGCUUACAUUGAUUUUAAGUAAGCUAGCCUUCCAAGUUGAGGUGUCAGUGUUCCUCCAAGACACAGAUUUGUCAGAUGCCUACAAGUUGAACACUUAUGACUUUAAGAAAAUAGAAAAAAUAAAUAAAAACAAAUCUUUUAUUGCAACUAAAAAGAUAAAUAACGGAAUGUUUGAUACAUGCUAGAAGAUAGAUAAACUACAUGAUUACAUCAAAUAAUCAUCGGAUAAAACAGGUAACAUAUAACAUAUGAACAAGUGAAAAGGAAAAAUAAAGAUGACAUGAUAAAAUAGCAAAAAGAAGGGGAAAAAUGCUGGGAUUGCUCCAUGGAGGCCCACAUUAUUAUGAACUAUCUACUGUAGGGACAUCACACAUGCUGCAUUAAAUAGUUUGUCAUCUGAUCACUUCUAAGGGCUGCUUAGAUUCUGCACCGACAAGUACAAAGGCCGGCAACAACAUACACUGUUUAUUCCUUCACUUUAAGUCCAUCUAACCUUUAAAUUGAAUAUGAAAGCUCAAGUUUGGAUCUUGAUCUAAUAAAAGUCAACAAGUGACUUCAGAGUUAGUUGGUUAACUUUAAUGUUCUUCACGAGCAUUUUACAUUUCCAGUAAUAUUCACAUUAUAUUCUAGCUUACAGAAAGCUUUUGCAAACUUACUAUUCAACAGAGACAGAGAAAGAAAUCUGUACUGGUAAUAAUCUACCAUCUCUAAACACAUUGGAUCUUUGAUUCAACUAAAUGGGCUAUCCAAGAUCACAGAUUUAAUUAACUGACAGACACAAAAGAUAAAGAUAAACUCCUGUAGAAGAAGAAUGUUUGAUUACUUACUAUUUGACGACCUCUUGUUAUUAUUUUUAUUUUUUUUAUCCAACAGAAACAAGAGGAUGAAUUACUUACAAGAUCACAACUUUGCCAUCAGAGCAUUCGACACCGAACCAAGAACAAGGAUCAAUAUCUCCAUCUUUCUCAAUCCAAUUCGAUAAAACUCCAAAUGGGUCUGUCUCCACUCUCUCUCUCAAUCUCAACAAAGCCAAACCUGCACCAUUUUCAAACACUUUCACGUUACUAUAUAAAGGAACACCAACUUUUAACUAAGUUGUAAGGCAUGCAAAACAAAAUCUCCCAACCAUAUGAAGAUAAAACAUAGCAUAACUCACCCUCUGUGUUUAGAGACCAGCAAAAGCUAAAACUUUGAUGAAAUAACAACAGAACCAGCAUCAAAACCUCCAUGCGAAGCUUCACCCGGUUCAAUCUCCACCAUCCACCCGUCAUUAAGACAGUCAACAGCUUCUAAAAAUAAUUCUUGGUUACAAAUGUGUCAAAAACCCACUUGGGAGAUAAAGAAGACAAAUAUAUAUAGAUAGACAGACAGACGGAUGGAUAGAUAGAGAGAGAGAGAGAGAGAGAGGAGCUUGAUGGAGUCUUGGCUUGGUAAGUGGGAGCUAGCUAAUUUAGAAGGGGAGAGAAGAAAGCGCGUGCGUAUCGGUGAUCAUACGUGUUUUCAAUUAAAGAUGACAAUCAAGGCCGAAACAUUUAUAAAUGAACGAAAUGCGGGCUAUGCCCCGUUUUAUAAAUAAACUUUAAAAAAUAAAAAAAUAUAUAUUAUUUUAAUAUAUUUGUAAAUAAAAAAAUAACAUUUUGACUAUUUUAAACAGGCUACGAGAGAAUAAAAAAUGUGUCUGCGGCGCGCGAUUCAGUAACACUGGAUUUUGUUUGUCUUGUUCCUGAUAGGAUUGCAUUCGAGCUUGGACUUCGUCUUCUCUUCUCCCCAAAUAAGCUCUAAACACCCCUCCACAACCACGUGCUUGUCACGUGACGUAUAGCAGUGAUUUCUUCUCUGCCCGUAUAAUUUACCUUUGAUUGAUUGAUUGAUCGAUUCCAAGUGCUGCGGUUGCAUGUGUCCGUGGACAUUGCCGAGCACAUUCCUAAGUUUAUAUUUGAUUAAUUUCAAGAAUCUGGAUAUAUUAUCUGUUUAUCAUGUGAAUUUGUCAAUGGUAGGGCACCAUUCUUUAUUUGUCAUACAUUGUUUCUACGCUCAGUUUUGCCAGAGCGUAGGACAGGAAAUUAUUGAGUUGGUGUCUUGCCUAGAAUUGAAUAAUAUUUUUUAAAGGAAAAAAAAUUUGGUUUUUUAUUUAUUUAUUGGAAAUUAAUUUAACGUGGGUACUUAGGUCUUAGCCUAGAGGUAUUAUCUACCAUAAAUACUUUUGGUUGAAAUGCCGAUAUCUAUAGAUUGUAAUAAGAACUAAUUAAAGGUAUAGCCUUUAAUUUGUCUAAAUAAUUCCAUGUACCUAUUUCUAUAGUAUUUUGGAUGGAUAGCACACAUUAAAUCCCAAAACAAUGUUGUUAAAAAUGCUAAUUCCCAAAUAAAUAUUUUAUAACAUAGUAAGUCUAUUUCUAUAUCCAUUCUUCGUACCCUAAAUGUCCAUCUUUGUAAUCAAAAGAAAACAAUGAUAUGGUUUUGAAACAAGAGUCUCGCCCUAUUUAUAUCUGAUAUAUAUUUAGCAUAUAUAUAUAUAUAUAUAUAUAUAUAUAGAAUUUUGGUCAUGGCAUGGGGUGUGGAGGGUGUUUUUCUAGUAUAAAAAAUAAACACGAUAAUUUUAUUAAGCGGGUGCGUGGUUAGUUUAUCUGUACUCUCAAUUUCUUUCACAAAGAAAAGGGUAAAUUGUUUUAUUUAUAAUUUAAGUAGAGUUGGAUAAUUAAUGAGAAAUGAGCUGAUUUUAUAAAUUACAUUAACUAGCAUAGAAAGAUCAUGUAUCACCUUAAUUCAAUCAGUAAUUCCAGCUUCUUCUCAAAUUAACUUAAUGAAAUGUUAUCACCCUUUAUUGAGUGGCCAAAUCUAAAUCUUGUGGCACAUCCAAUUUUGAGUGUGUGUUUUUGCGAUUAAAAAAAUAUUUUUGAGAAUUUUUAAAUUUUUUUAUUCAAAUUAUAUAUAUAUAUAUAUUUCCAACUAAAAAAACUUAAAAAAACAAUACAUUUAUCUGCUGUGUAAAUUAAAGAGGUCCUCUUAAAUCCUGAAUUAGUUCAGUUCCGGCAAGCACAAGGCAGUACUUGAAAAAAAAACAAUGCAAUGUGCAUAAAAAACCACGUAGUCUGCACUUUUGCGUAUAUCCAGCUGUGUGUGUGUGUGUGUGUCUGUGAACAGUUUCACACACUUCAAUCAUUCAGCCAUUUAUGUUGAGUAGAGAUGUUGAUAUAUAAUUGUGUGAUGACAAAUGAUUGUCUCAUAGUAUUUUUACAUGUUUGCCAAGUGGACCAGCUUCAGUUUGAUCACUUAUGUUUGCAGCAGUAUAACAACCAAGGAAUCCAGACAUAAAGAAAAGAAAAGGCCGAGGAGAGAGUGAAUUACAAGAUACAUUCACCUAUAAUAUUGUAUACUGCAUGAAGCAUGAUCUAGAUGAUGAGACUAUAUAUAUAUAUAUAUAUAUAUCAAAAGGUAGCAUAUCAUGGGGAAUCAUGGCUUCGAAGAUAAGCACUGAAGUUGGGGGAUCGAGGGAUAUGAUUAAGAUUCUUCGAACUGGUUGAAAAUGAUUUAUGAUCUUCAUUGAGCAUGAUUUAUCUUGAGUUGCAUAGCGGCCAUUAAUGUAUGGAGAGUGGAAACCUUCUUCUUGCAGGUUCUGUAAUAUCAAUUAUGAGACCUGACAUUAUUUAUUUAAAACUGCUCUCGCAAGAUACAGCGACCCUCCUGAUGCAUUGCAAAUUCUUAGUUUUCUGGUUUCUACGUAUAAUCCAUUUGAAAAUGUUUAAAGAAGAUAGAGAUGCCUUAAGACGAUCGAAUUAACCAUCCUGUAAAUGCUCGAGGUAUUUGAUCAGUGUUAGGAGGUGGGAUCUUUCUAUCGUUUUGUUAAUUUGUGUGAGAUAGAGAUGACUAAUAUUGUUUCUUGAUUAUGAGACAUUAUUUUAAAUUAUUUUUUUCGUUGGGAUUAGCCAAAAAAAAUUGUUUUUUUGUGUUUUAAAAAUGUUUUUUAAAAAAAUUAAAUUUUUAUUAUUAUAUUUACGAAAAGAAUAAUUGAUAGUCCUACUGAACAGUGACACUUAAAUUUGUUUAUCUACAUAUGCUUGGAUCAUAAUGACCAGUGGCAAUCAAUAAAAUUGUGCAUCAUGUGGUUUUGUAUUCUAACUAGUUAGCUACUACACAUGGGGGUAUUAGAGGCUGGACCCAGGAUCGGACCACCGCAAGGGCACAAACACACAAGGCUGGCCAGGGCUGGACCACGUACGUACGAUUACUUGCUCCUGAGUUUUUAUGAGUGUUGUUCACGGGUAGAGUCAUCAUGCUCAUGACGUGGAUUGGGGGCACAAAAUCCUGUUUCCUCGUCUAAAAUGACAAGGUAACCUCUGGGAGCGAUAAGAAAACGCCGUACGAGCUAUUCAAGUAGUGACAUUGAAUCUUUUUUUUUUUUUUUUUUGAACUUUUCAGCAUUUUCUAUUUUUGAUAAAGAAAACGUAAAUCUUUGGUCUGUAGCAAGGUUCUGAGAGGCCACUCUAGCAAUGUAGAACUGGUCUUCAUGCUGGCUUAAUCGGACUCAAAUUUUCAAAUACAUUAACCAGAUUAAAAAGUUACGGCGAGUCAAGUAAUACAGAACCACCACAUCUGGCAAUGCCUAGCCCUAGCCCAUGCCGUGUUGAGAAGAAGCUAUUUAUAGCACAUAACGCGUUCACGAGAGAGAGGGAAGAUGGAUAGGAUCGUGGAUGCUUUCCCGAUUAUAAUUAACACGAGCAUUUCCAGGUGCAUCGUUGCAAAGGUUCACGGGCUGAGAAGCUUGUCAAGGCCCCAGAUAAUAAACUAAUUUAUAUGUAGUAUAUAUAAAAUAAAAAAAGAAAACAAAAACAGAUAUAUAGACCGACAUUUGAGUAUUUGACUCUGAGAAUGGAAAAUAAGACCGGAUAUGUCGCCACCAUCUUGGAGGGUGGACCAAACAGAGCUUUGCUAAAAUUCAAAAAAAAAAAACUUAAAAUUUAUUUUUAUAUAUAUUUUUAGAUUUGUUUUGAUUUAUGAUGUUAAAAAUAAAAAAAAUUUAAAAAAAUAUUAUUUUAAUAUAUAUUUUAAAAAAAUACGUAUCAAUAAUCCAAAACACCCCUACUGAAACCUUGGGCAUAUUUAUAAUUAUUUCUCAACAAUCAACAAAAUUAGGACUAAUCUAUCUGUGCUUUCGACAGGGCAAAAAGAAACGGGCCCGAAAUACUGGGCAUCUCUUGCUAGGAAUUAUGGGCUAAGAUAUUAUAGCCCAAGAAAAUGGGUAUUCACUUUGGACUGAAGGCUAACAGCUUUUUCUUGGAACCACUUGUUCUAAGAAUUGAAUGAAUUGAUUUUUAAGUAACAGAUUCUUGAAUUGAUUUGAUUUAGUGAAAGAAUUCUUUUUUUUUUAAUAAAAUUUUGAAGUGACGGAAUUUAUUAAAUUCUGAAAUUUGAAAAUUACUAAUAGAUACUAUUUUUUUUAUCAUUUUACCAUAUUACCAUUCAUACACGUAUAAAAGCCAUCAUUUCUUCCAACAUGAGAAUCAAUGGUAUAGCUAGAAACUAGAAAGGUAGGAUUUUUAUGAGAUUUCCCUAAAACGGAUCGAUUUUUUUUUUCUUGCAUAGAGAUCCAUCUCUGAACUUGCCUUGCUUCAGUGUCAAGCUACUGUCUUGAAUCAUGUGAUCAAAACUAGAUAAUGGGUUCAGCCCAAGUUAAUAUUAAACAUGAAUACUCCUGUUUUUAUAUUUCAAAAACAAAUUAAAUUUUUUUUAUUUGUUUAAGAAUUUUUUUUUAUGUAUUUUCAAAUCAUUUUAAUAUACUAAUUAUUAAAAAAUCAAUUCAAUCCAAUAACUUAAGUUUGUAGAUAAAGUUUCAAGAUAUGAUUUAUAUUAUUUUCUAAUACACCUCUUCAAGUGAAAACUUUUUGAGCUUGAAAUUUGCACAGGCUCACACUAUCUUAUACUUAAUUUUUAUCAAAUAAAUAAGGAUAAUAAGAUUUGAACUCCUGACUGCUUGGUCAUCAAGACUCUGAUACCAUAUCAAAAAAUCAAUUUAAUUUCAUAGCUUAAACUUUUAGGUAAUGUCUUAAGAUAUGAUUUAUAUUAUUUUCUAACACUGAUGUCAAAAUUAAUUUUUAAAAAAUAAAAAAAUAUUAUUUUAAUAAAUUUUUAAGUAAAAAUCACUUUAAAAAACAACCACUGGUUGUAUAUCUCACAUGUCGUAUAAAAAAAAAAAAAAAGGAAAAAUAAGAACCGCCAUUUCCUUUUCUAUGAGAGAGAGGGCAGAUCAGUAACAGCAACAAUAACAUUGAAGUUCUUUUAAGGAUAGAUGAGGUAAUAUACGUGGUAACGUUAAAGUAAAAGCCAAGUCCGAGUCAAUCACAGCUCUUCAGCUGCAAUUUCAAGGUGUGACUUCCGUUGAAGAUUUUUUAAAAAAUCGAAUUCAAUUAUUUUGAUAAGAUAUCUUUCCAAACAUGCAUGGGAUUUGAAUAAAAAUGAAAUGAAUAUUGAUUUUCAAACAGCCUGUAAGGCUCCUGGCCUAAGUUCUGGCUGUUGCUGUCGUUCCUCCCAGAUGCAGCCGUGGCCUAUAAUAAGGUUCCUAAAGCAUCAAAUUCAAUUCAUUGUUUUAUCACGAAUAAUCACAUUCACAAGAGUCCAUGACGGCGGGGAAAGGGACAUGCUUACAGUACAGAUGUUGACUUCUGUUGGGGUCCUCUUCUUAUGCUUGGCAGCUUCUCUAAACUGAAUGCUUCCGCUCAUUGUAGUCAGUCGUGAUCAGGUAAGGUUGAGCUCAUCUUCGAAGAAAUUCCCCGCAAGAACCGUUAGAAUAUGAGCUUCAUAAUCAGGCCACAAACAGAAGCGCAGUUGCAUGAUUAUUUCCACAGUUGAUCCUUUCUCUUUUAAUAAUUCAAAGAUUUUUGGAUAACAUUAUCUGAGGUAAAGGAACAAACUUGAGAAACAGUAUCUGCCGAUUACAAGUAAACAGUAUCUGAGAAGCACGCGUAUAGAAUAUAAUUGCUUUUAGUUUAGUGUAUUUAGGCUAUUUAAUUUAUAGCCUGAUUGGCUAUUAUAUUCAUGACCCCCGUGUUGCCAUGUUUUAUAUAUAUAUAUAACUUGAAUAAAGAAUUAAAUAUUGAUAUAUUAAGAAAAUGAACAUUCAAAUUCACUAAUUAGAUAUAUUCUUUAGUGACCAAUUUGUAUUAUCAAAAGAAUUAUUUACAUGUUAAAAGCUUUGUCUAACGAUAAUUUUUGUGAAACUAAUUUGAUUUUAAAUCAAAUAUUAACACCGAUUUAUCUAACUUUUAUAUUAUCAAUUUAAAAAACUCAAAAUAACACUAGAAUGAAGAAAAGUGUCCAAAAGCUGUGUAAAAAAGAAGAAUUUAUCAAAAAAAAAAAAAACAUGGGGAAAUGCUGUGGUGUUUUUAUGCUGCACAAACUGGCCCGUAUAAAGUCGUGUAAUAGCUCAUGUAUGAUGUCAUUGCAAUGCUGCAACCGAUUAAUAACACCAGGAAAUUUCACCACAAAUUUUGCUGAAACAACCUCAUACCACGAACUUUGUUUUUUUGUUUGGCUAAGAAAAAGAUAACCGACGCCAUCAUCACUGAUUAAUCAAUUGAAACAAACGAUUAAGAAUUCGAUUCAUGUCAAUUUUGUUUUAUACAUGGUGAAUAGAAUUAUAAAAUUCUGUAAGCAGAUGAUGAAUAUUUGAUUCCUUCACUGUGUCCUCUGGGUAAGUAUGUACUUCGUUUUGUGUCCUCCAUUUAUGUCCAGCUUGAAACCUUCACCAGAGGAACUUCCAUGUAGCUCAGUACCAUUUGGUUCUCCUUCACUCCUUCGAUGUUCACACAGUAGAAGCUUUCUGUUUCUCUGAUCAAUUCCCUGGCCUCUAGAAGAUUAUCUUUUCUCAUUUCCCAGGCCACCAACCCUACCUCUGAGAGUGCCCUGCUUUCUUUAGCAAUAUCAUCCCACAUUUGCAAGCCAAAAGAAGAAGAAACAUAAGGUAUCAAAAACACGCAUUCCAUGGCUAUUCUUGCUUCUCUUAGAUGGUCAGGGAAAUGACAGUCCAUUGAUUCUAUCAACGCCAUGAACUGAACCAGCUGCCCUGCAAAAACAGAGCCGUAUCCUUUCUGCUCCUUCACUUCCAUGCCCCAACCAAUCCCAUCUCCAAUAGUUAUAGUUCCCCUAGUACCACUACCACCAUCAGUAUUGAGGGUGAUUGAAUCUUUAGCUAACCUUAGAAACUCCCCAAGACUCCUGGCACUCCUCCCUUUCCCCAUGUGAGGGAGACCCACCAUGCAAUUGAAGGCUAACCAUUCCCCUCUUCCACCUCUUUUCUUUGUCUUCUUCAUCUCACUAACCAAAACCUCCAUGUCCAUCUCCUCCAUUUUCAAUCUCAAACCAAAUGUUUGUGCGUGUUCAUAUAACCGCAUUUUCGUCUCCUCAAAACUCCUCGAGGAACCAACACCACUGCAAUCCUCUUCCUCCUCCCAUUUUAUUGCAGUCAAUCUCACCAUUCUUUUGCCUCGCCUCGCAAGUGUUUCGAUCAUUGGAGGCCAUUGCACACCUUGACCAAUGUCAAAGUCAACUAUGUGCACUAUGUCAGCUUCUUCAGGGAUGGCUUCUAGUAUUACAGAAUUGGCAGUAAAAUGAGCAAACCUCCCGUAGGGAAAUAUCUGAUAGAAUGCUUUAAAGGCAGCCUCAUAAUUCUUGCUUGCUUCUUGCCAUAGAAAGUCCACUUCCCCUUCCCGUGCUUGAAUCAAAUAAUAAGCAAGUCGCUCCAGGGUUGAACCAAUAGGGCAUGCCAUCUCUUUUAACCGACUCAUAAUUUUUUCAGCUAACUCUUUCAUCUCCAUCUCCGCAGCCUCUCCAUAAGCCUUGAGCAGAUGGAGAAUCAUCAAUUGGUUAUCAAAUUCCAUGCCAAAACCGGGCAGAACCAAGGAUGUUUGAUUCGUCAGUGUGUCUAUAGAUGCCUCCCUCGAUGGUGGAGAUACAAGCAGGCUCCCUGCAUCAUCUCCAGGGAAGUUUUGCAUAGCACCCCUGUUCUCACUCGCCAACCAAUCAUUUAUAUCCUCAAUUUCUCUUACCGUCAAUGGAUCAUCAAAAGUAAUAUUAGACUCCGGAAUUAGGGAAUAUUUCUGUUCCUCUGGAUGGGACAUGGUGACAGGCAAAUCAUCAACAUGAGUGGGAAAACCUAGAGAAACUGGAGAAAAUGGGAUAGGAGAGGAGAUAUCAGAGAAAUCUUCAAAAAAUACGCAUAAAGAAGAGUCCUCGGGAUAGCUGCCUAAUUGAUCUGUGUUUCGAAACAAUAGGCCUACUUCUUCUAUGGGAUUGUACGUACUUUGCCAUGAAUAACAAGGAAGAUAGUCAACUACCAUAUUUUUUUAUCUUAUUAACUCAAAGCAAAGGCCUUAGUAUUUAUAGGCUUGAUAAUGCUCAACCUAGAAAAUGUCGAGAUGGCACAUCAUGUGGAGUAAAUUAUCAAUUAGUCUCUCUAGUCUCAAGAAAUAAUUUAAUUAGUCCUCUUUAUUUCAAAAAUUAAUUAAUAGUCCCUUGGCCAUUAUUAACCUUGCUUAAUUUAAUAUUAAUUUAUCUCAAAAAUGUUUUCUUUUUCUCAUCAAGGGGGCUAAUUAAUUCAUUUCUCAAUAUUAUAAUAGCUAAUUUAUGAUUUACUCGAGGAUUAAAAAAGUGAUAAAAUUUUAUUUUGAGAUUCCAGGCAUCAUUAUUAUCACACGUAGCCUCUUCUAAUUCAUAAUAGUUCCUGUUUCAAUCAUGAUAAUCAUUCAAGUUUGUAUCAAAAUAUUCUCCUCGAUGCAAAUGACUUUAGAACGAUCCAACUGCAAAAUUCCAUCUUAAUAGUAUACUUUAAUCCAGCAAGUCACUUUAGAUAGAUACAUAAACUAACAAUUUUGGCCCUUUUACAUAAAAAAAUUCAUUAAAAAAACUUUGGCCUGAGGCACAUGGUUCUUCGUCAACGCACCUAAAGUCAUGGAAAUUAAGGUUUAAAGCAAAAGGAGAAAGGUUAAAAUAGCAGUAAUGAUAUUAUGCAAUUUGCUAUAGAUCGAUGAUCAGGUCUCUAUCUAAAGAUUUUUACGAGGGAAGGUGUCGAGUUAGGCUCCAAAAUAUCUUACACUGCAAAUAAAUUCUUACAUUACUACUUCAUACUUGAGUUUCUAAUUUUUUUUCCUUUUAAUUGCCUCUGUUAACGUAGAUUUUUGUUCUAUUCUGCAGAAAAAUAAACAGUAACGUAAAGUAUAUUGUUAUAAUAAGAAGGUGUUUGUCACGACUUAUAUUUCUGUUUUUAGGUAUUUUUAAAAAUUAUCUUUGAUUUGAAAAAAUAUUAAAUGAUUUUUUUAAUAUUUUAAAAUGAUUUUAAUGCAUUAAAGUUAAAAAUAAGAUGAAAAAAUCUAAAAAAAAACUUCCACCGUGAACUUAAACACCCCCAGGAUCGAUCCGAAGCCAUUUUUUGUGAAGAAAACUCUGCUCGCAAUCAUACAAAUUAGAGGUCUCAUUGGAGUAUAUGAUGUCCGUCAGAGAAGAGAAUAUCUCCAUGUGUAGAAUGCUAAAAAUAACUCAACGAAAAUGGCCAUACCGUUACCAUCCACAUCCACAUCCAUGUCAAUUCAAUACAGGAACAUUCUUUCUUACAAAAUAGGGGGUAAAUAAUUAGGAAGAGAGCUGGUAAUAACAGAAGGCCUGCGUAAUAAAAUAAUUUUUUCCAUAUUCCAGCUCACUGAAUAUAAUAUUUUGUCCUGUUUACAUGAAUAUGGACAAAUGCAUCUCAAAUCCAUGGGCUCAUAGAUGAAAAGCCGAAUUAUGGAGUUUUAAUACCGGAUAUAAAUAAGAGUAGUUGUCUGUUGUUGUCUGCCGGAUAUUCUGUUACACGUCUGCAGUGCCACGCUCCAGAAAUGUAUUGGAGAUAUAUAAGCAUUUGCUUCUUUUUCAAAAAAAGAAAAAAGAAAAAAACAUUUCAUGGGGUGAGAGAGGCUCGAACUCUCGACCUCAGGAUAACUCUUUUAGCUAUGAGACCUACGCGCUAGCCAACUGCGCCACCACCCCAUCUUGUGACACUUGUCUCUUAUAAUUUAAAAAAUAAAUUGUUUUCUGUCAGCCUAUUAAAUCCAUUAUAUUCCAACAAAAAAAUAAAAAUAAGUACUGCUACUUUAUUACAUUGGGUUGCUUCUUGUCUUCCCACCACACAAUGGACACUGCACAGGCCUGAAUAGGAAUUUCGGCUGGAGCAAUGCCAAGUGAUUUUCUCAAAACAAAAAAAUUAUGGUGAUGGAGGAAUAAUUAACAAUGUUUUAUUAGUUAUUUUUUGAAUUUUCUUUGAAAAAAAACACAACAAAAAUUAUGAUUUAUAAAAAAAAAAUUCUAUUUAAGAUUUCUAUAAUUUCCUUGUAUUUAUUUUUUUUAUUCAAUGCAAGUCCAUAAAAUAAUUAUGUUAUAAAUUAUUUACCAAACAUCAUAAAAUUUGUUGAUUUUGCCUAUUAAUUCUCACCCAAUUCUCACCCGCAUGAAUUUAAAUCCUCGAAAAUUUAUCUCUAGCAUUACUUUGUAUGUGACUGCACGGGUUCAAAAAGAUAAGGAAGAAAAGAUGUAGCAGAAGUUUCAACGAAGCUUGUGGGCUUAGGUUAACCUUUCUUUGUGUUCAGUUUGUUCAUGCUCAAAAUGUAGCCCAACAUGGGAUUUGGUUUGACCAAGUGAAACCUAGCUCAACUAAGCCUACUUUAAACUCACUUAAUAUAGGGUUUGGUUUGAUCCGGUCAAACAAAACCCACUGGAAUUCAUGUUCGGCUCGGUUGGAUUUUUUUUGGACUUAAUUUAAUCAAACAACUCAGUCUUUUCUUUCUCUUUCUUUUUUUAUUUUCUCUCUCUAGUUUAUUAUUAUUUACCUGUAUGUCAAGAAGAAUAUGAUAUUGUACAUACUAGACUUUUAUGUACAUUUCACUUGCAUCACUCAAUUAUUACAACAUAAAACAUACGUAUGAUGAUAUACUCAUGAUGUUUUUUUAUAAGGUAAGCUAUAUAAACAAGGUAAAACAAAUAAGAAAGCGGAUGAAUUUUAUCAGUCAUAACUAUAUAUAUAUAUAUAUAUAUAUAUAUAUAUAUAUAUAUGCAAUUAUUCUCUUUAAAUUUUUAUGAUAUAGAAAGAAAAAAAUAACACUCUUCAAACACUCCACUAACUUAGUUACUAGAGUAUUAUUUCGCAGGUAACACUCGUACAACCCAAUAUCAUGUGCAAAGAGAGCCCAAGUCCAAGCAAAGUCUUUCUAAGCUUCAUUAGAAUGCAUCUAUAUAUAUAUAAAAGUUGCAAUACAAAUUACAAAAUUAUAGCACUCUUUUUAACUUAAAAUCUAAAUUUUAGUCCCAGCAAUGAGCAUUCAUUUUCUUGUUUAAUUUAAAAGUUUUAAAUCUGGGCAACAUGAUGUAAAAUCUUCAUUCAAACAUGAGAGAAUCUCAAUCCAGUUUUUUAAAUGUUAUGGUGAAAUUGCAACUCUCUUUGCAAAGUUUGAGCGUACGUGGGCGAGGCCUCUUCAGUGUUUUGUUUGUCAGUUCAUGCUUAUGCAGUAAUCUCCCACAACAAUAGCUAACCGAGAUUGGAUGGGUCGUUUGAACUCAAUUUAACUAAAGCUAAAAAGAUUUAUCGGCAAUAGGCCCAAGCGAAAUUCACAAUCAAUGAUAGAGAUGAGGUGAUAUGCCCUUGUAAUUUCAACGUAUGCCCCUGACAAUAAAGGAACAGAGCAAGCCACGCUAGUCCUGUUCUUGUCAGUACUAAUUACGCACCAGAGUCCAUUUCCCAGCAUGUGAUGAGAUGUCUAUAUAGUCAAAGAAACAUGGCCCUGUGCUGAUCAUAUGCCGAUGAGCUGGUUUUCACUCCCUGGAUAUCUGUCCAGGAUCGAGCUCAAAUCUAAUCAUCCAUGGACAUUCACGCCCUUCCCAUUUAAUUAUUCUCUCUUCCACCAACUGUCAGAACAAGUACCAUGCUGAAUGCGAGAAUAUGUCCAGAUAAAUUCUAGAUACGUCGCCGUACUUGUUGUGUUUUGGGGACGUCAACAAGAUCUAGGAUCCUGAACCAACCCUUUCGCCAGCUCGAUGCAGCACUAUCACAUCUCCAAAUGGGAAACCAAAAAAAAAAAAUUUUUGAUUUUUCAAUGAUUAUUCUACACGUUAAAAGAUAAACAAAAUGUUAAAACAUCAUUUUUUUCUUAUCAAAUAUUACUCAUUACAAUAAUAUUUUUUAAUUUAUAUUUUUUUUAUUUGUUUCUUUUAAAAUUAUUCAGUAUUGUGACUUUGCAAAAUUGAUAUUGAUGAGUUUAUUCGAGUUGAUUUAUUUUUUUAAUUUUAUCUUUUAAUUUUGAAUUAAUUAAAAUUUAUUCGGAUUAUCUUUAAAUCUACUAGAUUAAUCAGGUCAUAUCAAAUUAUUAAAAUAAUUUUGUAUCAAAUAUAUUAAAAUAUAAAUUUGCUAUUUUAAAAAUCAUAUUGUCAAUUUAUUUCUUCUAUAAAUACCAUUUCUCAUACAUAAUGGAGAAGGAAUCAGAAAUCAUCCUGGAUAUUGGGAUGUAUAGACGAAGAAGAAGAAGAAGAAUCCACACUGCUCAAGGUUAUUUCUAUAUGUUAUGUCAAGCACAGUUGUUUUAGGUACUCGCUUUCUUCUCUGCCACAGCGUGAAACUUUUCAGAAUCCACCCACACCCACUACGCUUUUAGCUUUUGGUAACCAGCCUAUCCAUCACGCCUCGUCUCCACAACAGUAAAUUUCCAUGGCCCCUCAGACUUAUUACCAAGGAAAUGGUCGUCCUGGCAAGUGCAAGUGUUUACAUGUGAAAGAUGAUGCAAAUUUAGACCGUGGAUGCUAAUAAAGGGAUCAUCUGUGGAACUGUUAUGGGUGCGUUUAGGACAGCAGCAGCGGUUUUUUUUUUAUAAAUAUAUUAAAAUAAUAUUUAUUUUUUAUUUUUUAAAAUUUAUUUUUACUAUUAAUAUAUAUAAACGAUCUAAAAAUAUAAAAAAAUAUUAAAAAAAAACAAUUGAACCAUGCUCUUAAACAUCCUAUUAAAAGAUCAAUGAUCAUCCAUGCCAUUUAAAAUGAAGUUAAGAUAAUUCAAGGAAGUUGGUGUGCUGGGAAAAAAACUAGCUUUAGCACUUUUGAGUCUUGACUAGGUGACAGUGGAUUUUAAUUGUGAUUUACUGAGUUGUUUGUUAUUAUAUUAGUGAUUAUUUUUUAAAGUAUUUUUUUUACUUAGAAAUGUAUUGAAAUUUUAAUUUUUUUUAAAAAAAUUUAUUUAUAACACCAUCGCAUCAAAAUAAACAAAUAUUUUUUUUAAAAAUAUUUUUAAAACACAGGAUAACAAGAUAAAAUAGAGUAUAAAAUGUGGCUGAUGCUCUCACUAUGAAAAUAUGAAUUGAUUUUUAUUCUUCCAUUUCCAUUUCCCUUUACUGGCACUCUAAUUUACUGUUAUCAGUUCAUAGCAAAUUUAGACAGUAAAUAAGUGUCACAUUGAUGUCAUUGGUACAAACAUUUCUUACAAGUUACAGCAAAUAUUAAAGACAACAGGCUAAGCAGCAAAAUGUCCAAUCAGCUCCCUACUAGCUAACCUCCUCAUAGAGAGCCAAUUGACUCGAGUUUUAACAAGGCCCAGACGAAACAGAAAGGGAAAAGGACUCUCAAUCUCUAAUUGAUGAUUAUUACAGUAUUACCCUAGAAUAAGAAGAAGAGAAAAGUAUGCUGUCUAUAUCAACAAACGAGGACCUUUCACCUAUAAUUAGGCUAAAUCAUUCCAUCUCCUAACCUACGCCUCUAAACAGUCACCCCCCUAAACCCUCCAUUAAAAGACCAAAGCCAGAUACAGCACAAAAAUUUUAUUUACCCUUCUCAACAACCUUAACCCACCGCCUAACUCUAUCUCUCCCCUUCUUUCCUCCUCUCGCUCUCUCUCUGUCUCUCUUAAACCCUCAUCACCCGCUUUUGCAGCUCUUCCUUCUGUCCCAAAAAACACCUUCUCUUUAACCAAAGCCUAAGAAACCAAAAAUUAAAAAUUAAAAAAACCCCCGAAACUAAACAAAAACAAGAACACCCAUUUUAUUUGUUUCUAUUUUUCUCAAAUCUACCAGGACCCAGAAAGAAUAGAGUAAAUUUCAGAUCUCCACCGCUCGAUGUGGCGGCCGCGUGCUAAAUCGACAGUUAAGAUUCGCGACACCCCGUCUUCUCCUUUCUCUUUCUCCACUUUCAAAGAUAUCCAAAAUCUUUGCAUAGAGGAUCAUCCCUCCAGUCCCAUAAAAAAAUCCUCCUCCAUUUUCCACCGGGUCCGGCUCGCCACCACCUUCCUCCGCUCCCUCUCAUUGUCCUUAUCCGAGCCAGAACACAAUGCCACUCCAGCUCAUAACAAAACGACAACACCAUCGCUUCAAGAACAACCUCUUAUCACAAUCCCGGGUGCCGACAAACGAAUUGUCGUCUACUACACAAGCCUACGUGUGGUUCGUUCAACAUUUGAAGACUGCAAGACCGUGCAAUCUAUCCUACGUGGAUUCCGCGUUUUAAUCGACGAACGAGAUCUCUCAAUGGACUCAAGUUUUUUAAACGAGUUAAAUCAGAUCUUUUCCGGCCGUGGUAAUUGUGGUCGGAAGCUGACAUUGCCACGUGUCUUUAUCGGAGGGAGAUACAUGGGUGGAGCCGAAGAAAUCAGACAGUUAAACGAAUCAGGUGAGCUCAAGAAAUUUAUAGAAGGAUUGCCUGUGGUGGAUUCUGGUGUUUGUGACGUGUGUGGUGGUUAUAGGUUUAUUUUAUGUGGUCAAUGUAGUGGGAGUCAUAAGUUGUAUAUAGAGAAAGCUGGGUUUAAAUCCUGUACGGCUUGUAAUGAGAAUGGUUUGAUCAGGUGCCCUUCUUGUGCUGUCUAAUUUUUAUUUUCUUCUAUUUUUUUUUUCAAAUUAGAAGGUUUGUCGUUAUUUUUCUUGGGCUAAUCUUAGUUUAUAGGGUUUUUUUUUCGGUUUUUGGUAUUAUGAGAUAAGUUUUUUGUUAUCUUGUAAUGUAAUAACCUUAAAAUCAAAGUUAGGAAGCUAAGGUUAUAUUAUCAUUAUAAAUUAAGACUACUUCUUUCUUUCUUUGAUUUGAAAUUAUGGUUAAUGUGUAUGGCAAUUUUAGUUAUAGGAAAGAUAUGUAUGUCAUUAACUAUUUUACAGUUUGGAGGUCUUUUUUCACGUUUUGGAGCCCUGGAGGUGAGAGUUUUACUGCUGGAAGUGCAGUGACUGCAAUCAUGUGUUAAUGUCAAGGAGACUUGUUGAUUUUAGGAAGGGGAUAUGAUGACUGAUGGGGGUGGUUAUGUCUUGUCUGUUUCUUUUGGGUUUGAGCCAUGUUUGAUGCUGACUCUUUUUUCUUUUUUUCUUUUUCCUUGGAGAUUAGGAAUUUCACUUUCUUUUGGAAUCUGAUCAAUUGUCUCGUGUAUUUUGUCCUCGUUUUGGUUCACAACAAUGGGUCCUCUGCUUUUUGAAAAUUAUUGGGAGUUAGAAAAGUAUAGCUGGAUGAACAAAAUUCAUCUUUUAAUUGACUGUUCGGUGAAUAUUUAUACAGAUAAGGUUCUGAGUUUGAAAAAGAAAUAGAGACUAUCUUAUCUCCGAAAUAACUAACACGCCCCUCCUCUCUAGCUUAGGGUGUCUUCUUGUCACUCGAAGCUUGCUUCUUACAUCAAGAAAUCUGGUUAGGUGCUUUGUAAAGAUACCUGUCAACUGAUCUUUGCUGGACAGAAACUUAACUUUUAGCUUUCUUUGGGCAACCUAAUCUCUUAUCGAAUGGAAAUCGAUUUCGAUAUGAUUUGUUGUAGCUUUUGAAUAUGUGUUCAAUAAGCUGUUAGAGAUGUAUAGAAUCCUGUUGAUCAGUGCCAGGGAUCCUACACACCUCUAACAUGAAUGAUAUUAUUGCAAUGUGAAAUAAUAUGGUGUGAUAUUUGAUCGUUUUGAUUUGGGAUGCCUGCAUUAUUAUUAGAUAAUGUAGCUCAGCAUGUUCAUAUGUUCAUUUUAUGUUUGGUUUUUAAGAUCAGGGUAAUCGGGAGGUGGCUUUUUCACUGAGAUGAAGUAUCUUCCUGAAGCCAUUCACAUCCAAAUUUGUGUGUUUAUGGAAAUUUCUUUUUCACAGCCUUUUAAAAUUCAGGAUGCAAACUCUGAAUAGGAGUGUAGGGUGAAGAACAAAUUCACUUGUAACUCAAGCUUUCAAGACACACGCUUCAUUUUAUACCAGCACGUCAAAUUAACUCGAAACAUUUGGUAUAGCCUUGGACAGAAAGCAAUAUAGGCUGUCAAAAACUAGAAUUCCUUGGCAAUUUCUUGUUUCUCUAAAUAAGUAACAAAGGAAAUUACAGAUUACGAAGGAAAUUACAGAUUACAAGUAGCCAACUAGGCGGGAAACUGAACUAAUUUCCUUCAAGAGGAACUCUUACCAAUGUCCACAUCCACCAACCGAUUUCAUAUCCAUAAGUGUAGUUUCGCUACUAAAACUGGCACUGGUAUGAGAAAUUAAGAAUAAUUCUUCUUCUUCAGCAUGUCUAAUCCUCCAUCUCCACAUGCGAUAGAGACCUAUCGCAUUGAAGAACUUACAUCUCAUUAAUUAUUCAAUUUAUCUAAAGCGUGACUCUUACCAUUCUUGAUUCUCCUUACUUAAAUUUAGUGGCGUGAGCUGGUCUAGAAUGGUUAUGGGUUAGGAGAGGCGGAUUAGUUGAAGAGGUGAGAAUUUGUCUGGAAUGAUUCUAGGUCUUGGAGAGACUAUUAGCUUUUAUUGAUGGAGAAAUCACAAGAAAUUCAUUAAUAGAGUAACAAAGAAUGUUUCUUUGUUUCGUUUUACUUUUGUUCUCAUAAGGUUGCACGUCGAGGUCUUUUUUGAAGUUGCAGUACCACUACAUGUAUAGUUGAGACGUGAGCCCAACUAGCAUAAGAGUCUGGUCUAAAAACACCAAAACUGGGUUGAGCCGCAUCAAGUAAAUAAGUUGACUGGCUUCAUGAUCGAGGCUCCUAGGAGGCUUGGAUUCUUCGGCACACCGACAACGCAAGUUCCCCGCCUCUGGUGGAUGACUCUUCCAUGUUUAAAUUAGCCAAAUAUUUGUUAGCAUAGAAAUUGUAAAGAAUGUCAGACUAUAUAACUUUUAUCAACGAGCGUAUAUUCCUCUCUUUUUUUUUUUUUUAUGAUUCUCUCUUUUCAGAAAAAUCCCAUCCCCCUCAAAAUUCUCAUCCAUUUGUGCCCCCCACCCCCUUCUGUCAUGCCGCCCCUUUUUAUGGAGGGAAGGGCUCAAGUGAAAAGGGGUUCCUCCCUCUCUCAGGAUCAAGUUCAUCAUCAGUAAUCCAGCUAUUCCAGGUCUUUCUGUCAGUAUAUGCAGGCAUAUGACAGAAGUUGACAGCCAUGCAUUGGGGCAAAAUCCCUUUCAAGUUAGAUGGCUUAAGAUGCCUGGGUAAGGAGGUCCCAAGCCUACAGGGCAGGGCCUCUUGGCUCGUAAUUUUGAAAGGUCCGAGUUGGGAUGUGAGACCCAUAGUCCACAUAAUGUUGUGUGUAAAUUGGGGGCCUGUAAGGUCCAGCCCCGUCAAGCAGCGCUAGUGAUGUUUUUGCUGAUUUUCUCGCGGGUUUUGCGAAUUCGAGGAAGUUGUGCGUGCUCCGUUGAUCUAUUCAAGGUUCUGAGAAUAUCAGGACUCCUACUUCUGACUUCUGAGCCUAGCUUACUCCCAAGAAGCCACCAAACAAAGAAACAAAGUGCUGCUCGCAUGACAAAUCGGGCAGGGGCGAACUGUCUUCGCAUGAAUGAAACGACGAUCGUUUAUGAACAGGAAUUCCUGGAGAAGGGGUACGAUAUGCAGCGGCACCUCCACUGCGUCGCCACUGCAACUCAUAAAACUCGGGCUAUUUAAGUAAUUUCAAUUGACCUCUUUAAAAGUACACUAAGACCAAGAACACCUUCUCUGCAACCCCCCCUCUCUCUCUAAACUCUUCAAAACGAAGAAAAAGAAUCGCAAAUAUCAUCAUCAAGAACUGAAAAGAAACAGAAGAAAAUGGAGGAGGAAGGUCAAGAUACACCAAUAAACAUAACGAAGUUCAGUGGAAGAUCAAUACCAAUCUCUCUCUCUCUUUAGACUCCAAAAUCAAAGACCUCAAAUGCCUAAAAGAUGCUUGGACUGUGAUUGGACUUUGUGCUAAUCAAUUAUGUUAUGUUGGUUUUGAAUUUUGGGUUUGUUGCAAAUGGCAAUACUAAAAGUCAAAAGAUGCUUGGACUCGGCUGAUUUCAGUGUUCCUUCUCUGACAAUUGCUCUUGUUUAUUGGGAUUUAAAAGGCAAUAACCUUAUGAAGUGUGGGCCUGUGGACCUUCUAUGAUACUCCUUGGUAUCAACAACAACAACUUCAUUCAAGAUUUAACAGACCAAGUUUGCUGUUUAAUUUCCAUGCAGGUGAAAGUAGUCUUUUCCCUUGACUUGUACUGUUUGUUUGGACUUUUUGCUCAAUGAAAAUGGCAUAUCAGAUGAAUAUAUUAGCUGGGAAGGACUAACAGUUUUGUCUGUCAGCCAUAACCAGAGAGUAUCCAGUCAAUUGUGUUAUGAUUCUGGUCCAUUUAUCAUUUGAUGCAAGUUUGUGGCUAGGUGUCUCCCGCUGACUGUAACAAGGAGGAAGUCCAUAGCUGGACCUUCUAUGUAAAUAUCACAUAUAACAUAAGAAUAAUGAGGACCGAAUUGAAAUAUUAAAUAUUCAUACAAUUGGCAUCACCAGAGGAACAAGAUUAGAAUACAUUCUUGUGCUGUAGACAUUUAUUACUGCUUACUUGGCUAGCUAUUAUGAGAAAUUAUAGCACCAAUUAACAAAAUAAAACAUAUGCGGGGAGAUUUUAUUAGGUUCUUGGCUUCUGCAUUCAUAUAGGCGAACCUCUGAUGUUUAAAUUAUAUCAGUGGCUUGUUCUUAUUAAAACAGAUACGACAGCAGUCAUUCUCUUCAACCCCCUCUCUUUUCUUCUCUCUCGCAAAUUUAAAACUAAAGCCAGAGCCCCAGUUUGUGACCUAUGAAUGAUAGCCAACAAGAAAAAUCCAAGAAGAACGGAGCUCAUGCUGUGUUAGCUGAACAUAAAGAACAACUCCAAAGAGUGCUAGUGCUCGUUUGGGGAAUCACGGCUCUUGACUUUUUUUAAGCUUACGUAGCUUUUCAUCCCAAAGCAAAAUCUUGGAGUGUUCAGUAGGUCAUUAAGAGUCAAACAUCACAGCCUAUUUCACGCAUGGUUUUACAGCUACUUUUAAAAGCAACAAUAUGUAGCUUUUGAAUUGUUAUUUAUUUUUAUUAAUUGUUUUAAAUAUUCUUUUUAACUCUGCCGGUCCCCCGCUUUUAUUUAAUAAAUAUUACCCCUUGCAAAUUUAUUUGAUUCUCAAAUCUCACUUACAGAUUAUUUUAAUAUUAGAAACAAAUCUUCUUCUUCAAAGUUUGCCAAAAAAAAAAGGUGUUUGAUCGUGUGCACUGACUCCUGCGUUGUGUGAUUGAAUAAACAUUUGGUGUGUGGAAAAAGAGAUGGAAGAUUUUGACAUGCAUGCCCUUUAUCCAUGUAAAAGCCAAGUCAAGAUGGUUGUAGAUGCAAAUAUGGCAUUGUAUUCACCAACUUUGAUUAACAUUAUGAUUUCAUACCAACUGAUAUAUUUCUUAAUAUCUCUUCUUAAAGGCUUCCAGAUGAAGAUGAUAUUUAUCAAACUCACGAGAAAUGUGGACUAUUAGACAAUCAGAAAUAUAUAUAUAUUGACAUAUAAAAUUCACAAAUAUAUCUUCUUUUCAUGUGUCCUUAGUAAUUUUGAUAAUAAAAACCCUUUUCACAAUUAUUUUUAACACACUAUAAAAUAUUUUCCAUUAAAAAAUUUGUAUAAAAUUAUUUUUUAUAUAUAAUUUUUUAAAAAAUAAAAAAGUAUUUUAAUAUAUUUUCAAAAAAAUACUUCAAUAAACAGCAGCUCCAACACUCAUAAACACCUAAAAUAAAAACAUGCCAUCGUGUAAUGGUAAUUCAAAAAUCCACUGAAUACUUGAUUCCCAGUCUGGUUUCAUCGUAACCCCGAAAAGCAAUAAAUCAGCAUAACGGACAUUCUCAUUAAAAGUACACUUCCCAUUUCAUAUAUGGAAUUUUGAAACUAUUUUCUAAAUGUUCAUCUUGUGUGCACAAACACUGGAACGAGAGAUACCUGUGUACACACUUGUCAUCAUUUAGGGAAACCUAACGGAAGUAAAUGGAUACUGUAGGGAUGUCAACAUCAUUGCCCUCAUCAUCAUCGCAUGCCACGACAACAUCGAAGUGGCGGCGAUAAGCAGGCAAUUCAACUUUGGCCACUUCCCUCACCAGAUCAACCACCUUCCUGUCCAUUCUCUCCCUGUGCCGAGGGAACAUGCUAUUGUAGAGCAGGCAGCUACCAAAUGAAAUGCUGUAAGCACUCAACCCCUUGUCUGUAAACCAUUGCAGAAGUUCCCUUAAGGUAGGAUUGUUUUUCAGGGUCCACCUGUCCCAGACUGUCCAGCUCAUAUCCUGAUGCUUGAUAACCUUGGGUGGGACAGGCUCGGCCAUGGAGAACAGAGGAAGUGCAAGGUUGGCAAAUGUAUUGCGGUAGUCCUCCACUUUGUGUCCACCAUCCAGAACCUUGUACAGCUCCAGGCACACAAGACCAGUGGCCAUAGCUGUGGAGGUUGCGAUAGCAGGGAUGAUCCUUCCAGCAAUAAACUUCGCUUUCAGUUUGUCAACCUCAGGAAUACUGUAGUUUCUAGCUCUCAUGUUGGCAAGCCCAGCUAUCAAAUCCAUAUGGUAGUUUGUAUCAUCAUCCUGCACAUGUACAGAAAUACAAGUUACUAAAGAGGUAAGAUGGGUUCAAACAUGGAUGGCAUCAAGGUUAUAAAAUAGAUAACAGCAUAAAUGCCCCAUAUUUGGCCGACAUGCAAGUUAACACUCCAAGUCUCACCACCUAAAUAAGGAACAAAAUUGACAAGACUCUUGACAGAUUUAUAUACAAGCUUUAAGAUCUUCAGCGAUAAUGACAGAGCAAGUAUACAUUAUCAAUCUAGAUCUAAUCCCACGAUUGGGCGGCCCAAAGAAAUGCGUGAUAAAAAUAUUGCUAAAAGGAAGUUGACGAAAGAGAACCUUCUCAAACUGAAUUGGCUUCAUCCUGAACCCCGCAGGCAGGUUCUCCCUGCACAGCUCCAAUUUCCUAAUUAGUUCAUUAAUUAUUGCUGCAUCAUCCACAGAUGCAUUAGACAAAUUAGUAGCCUUCUCAUCUGUCUCAAUCUUCACACCUUCCCUUGGCUGAAAGUCCGGCACAAUCACCUUGUCAACAGCUUCAGCUACCAUCUUAGGAUUCCUGAUCCAGUCAGGAACUGGGAUCCCAAAAGUUUCUGCUCGUAGUACUGAUGCUGCCAUUACAAAAUGAAGGUGGCUAAGAUCUGUAGUUGAGAACUGGAGUGGAUGAGGGAAUCGCUUUGGGGCUGACCAAAAUGGAACCCCGGUACUAGUUGAUGCAUCUUCAGGAAAUGUGUAAAUCAACUGCUUCACACGGUCAGAGAAGUAAUCUUCAAACCUGAAUUCAAAUUAUGUAUACAGUCAGAUAUUGGAAAGGACAAGCCCAUUACAAGAUAAUAAGAGAUCUCAUCAGAGGAAGUACUUUAAACGAGCCCAUGAAAUGCAAUCCUGUAAUGUCUCGCAUUUUUCCUUCUCGAGGCACUCAAGAACAUGUUCCAAGAUAUCCCUUGACUGGGCAUCACCAGCUUUUAUCAUAGCAUUAGUAUAUUCAACUGGAUUUGAUAGAUAGGCAUUCACUUCUGCAGGCGUUUUCUCCACCAAACCCUCAAACUCCGAUCGAGCCCAUGUCAAGCAAUGGUCAAUGUUGUGCGGGAAGGAGUGCACGGUGCACAUCGGAGCUUGUUUCUCAGGUGGGUCCCUAGAAGCACCGUAGUUUUCAGUUAGGUGAGGAAUGACCAUCUGAGUGUUGCAUUUGGCACCUAAGGUUCCAGACUCGAGAAGAGGCUUUUGGAAGUACAAGCACCUCUGAUCAACAUAAAGUCUCGCAUUGACAUUGUCCAAAGCAUUCACAACAGCGGUUAAGUUCUCCCAGAAGGUAUCAUCAAAGACAUUCUCUGUUUCAGAGCCAACACGAUUCUGCAGCGCUUCAAUCUUGAGAUGAGGAUUUAUUAAUGCAGCAGCUGAAGCAGCGACUGUGGAUUUGGCCUGUCCAAUAUUCCAGUCACGGAAGAGAAACUGCCUGCUCAAAUUACUCUUCUCUAUUACAUCAUCAUCAGUUAUUGUCAGCUUUCCUUGUUCACCACAUGAAACACCCAUCAGCGCUAAGUUCUUCAAGAAUUCACAGCCUAGGGCACCAGAUCCUACUACAAACAAAUUGGCACCCUCCAGUUUCUUCUGAAGAUUGGAUCCAAAAACAGAAAUUUGAGCAUCAUAACGGCUGUUUAAUGGCAUGAAUUCACUGGGAUCCAAAUUAGCUGUGGGAAGUGAUUCCACAGAAUCAAAAUAAAAGAACUGUGACAGCAGGAAAAGCAGGAUUAGCUUACACAACAAGAAACCUAAUUGCAUUGAUAACAGAAGACACUGAAGGACCCAGUUGUGUGCUACACACGAGAUUAAAUGAGUGGAACAGAGCUGCCUUAUUGAACCAGGAAGUGAUAUUAAUAGAUUAUUCUGAUUAAUAGAUGAAACUCAGCAGUAAAAGGCUCUUAUGAACAGCUAAAAUUUCAGGCCUAACAAUCUAAGUGCAUGAGUGGAUGCUUAUGCACAAAUGAGAACCCAUUGUGUGUUUAUGUCCAGACAAUUAUGGUUAAAAAAAGUUCUUGAAAGAGAGAGGGAGACAGAGGCUCCAAAAGGCUUUAGAGGUCUACCAAUACUCAACAAAUCUAGAGCUGGUACCCACCUGAAACAGGGGAUGAAACUUUCCAGAACAUGCUUUGACAACCUCUUGUCCCACAAUACCACCAAACAUAGCAGCCAUAGGAUUCAGUACAGCCCUGGCACCAAAGGCAAAAUGUCGCAGAAGUUUUGGAUUGAUGUCUUCAACCCUACCAUCUCCAGAGUUUUCAUUGAUGAGACUGGCAAGAGACACAAGCUUCUGAGCAUCCUCUUCUGAACCAGCAACAGGGAGGCGACCCAUCUCAGACACAAACUUGUCCAGAGCUUGAAAUGCCAAGUGUAGGAGAGGUGGGCGAUCAAACUUUGAGAAAUCACUCAAAAGAAAAUCACCAGGAUCUUUAAUCGCUUCCCUCAAAGUCUUAAAGUUCAACACCUUCGGCUCUUUUACCUGUGUAACAAUGCCACCUUUCUCAUAGAUACCAAAGUCAGAGGUGUCCUCCUCAAGAAAAAAUGAAUAUGCUCUGGCGUUUUUAAUCUUUCUAGGUUUUCCAUCAUUUAGUUCUGUCAUUCCCUUAACUUCGGAGAAAGCAACAAGAUCCCCAUCUUGAAACUCAAGCCUUUCAUCAUCAACGCAUGACACUAAUGCAGGGUUGUCAUUGCUGAUGGAUGCAACUAUGCCCGUGUGUGGUUCCUCUCCAUCAACAUCAAACACGGUGAAUUCAGGUCCAAAGUCACAAAAAAUGGAACCAAAAAGGCCUCUUACUUCAGCCUUGAUGAAAGAAAUAGGAGGCUUAUGAUCAUGGCAAUAGUCGUUGAACUCGAUGGCUUUCUCAAAAGUGACAUCAGUAAACACAACAGCCUGCAUCACCAGGGGAAAAAAGGUGGAUAUAAUAAAAUAUAUAUAAUGAUAAGGUAACGUGUUCAUGAACACAAAAGUGAGAGACAGCAUUGAAAUGCUCAACACACUAAAAAGCAAGCAUUUGUUUCCAUGAUAAUUUCCUUCCAUAUGAUACAGCAAUUCAGACUCAUUUCGCAAAAAAAAAAAUGAAAACAAUGAAAUCACAAUCUCUUGUUUAACUGUUUUUCAGAUAAAACUAGAGUUCACAGCAGAAAAUGCUGGAAGCAACAUGAUCCUAACAAAAACAAGCAUAAGUGAUUCCUUGAUUGUGUAGCUUUCUCCCAUCCUCUGCUUCAUGCUUUCAUGUAACUUUCUCCCAGAAAUUUCAUUUAGAAGAUAAAAUGUGGGUUCUCAAUCAUAAGUAAAGGAAGAGAAGCACACCACACUUACCAAAACAUUCAAGGAUACAAACCUGUUGAAAUUUCAUUAAAUUGAAAAUGUAUUCAUUAGAUGGCCUUUCUAGCAAUGUCGCAAGAUAACAUUGGGGGGACAUAGAAAAGGCUACUCCCAUAUCCUUCUAUUCACUCUUUGUAUUCUUCUUAAAUUUAACAGCUUUGGAGUUUCAUCUAGAUAAAGAAUGUUACUGAAGAAUCAAUUGUCUAGCCAUUGUCUCUUUACUUUCUCAACUUUUCUCUUCAGCCACUAGUGCUCAGCAUUUUAAGACUCUUAUUGGACCUUUACAUGAGAUUUUCAGCAGCAAUACAAUUUACAAGUCAGCCCACCAUACAGCUCACAAGGAGAAUUGAAUGAAGCUUAGGAUUUAGUAGCAUAUCACAGUUUCAGACGAUGUUUAACAUGACCCUAUAAAAGACCAGAUUCUUUCCCACGAAUCCUGGACAACCUAGUUAUAAGAAAUAUUACUUCAUAUUCCAAAAGCAGCAUUUCUAAAAUCAAUCGCAGCUCCCCGAGCUCCACAUCUGCUCCAGAAUAUUCAUAUGUGCCAGUAAAAUAAAAUCAAUACAGGCUCUACCAAAAAAUCAUGUACCUCAAUACUGUAAAUCCGAAUUAGCAUUAACAGCCAUAUUUGUAACUAAAUAAAACCAGUUGCUCACAAUGGAUUUGUUCAUGAUGUUGCACAUAUAAAUAUAAACAGGAGUAUUCCACAAAGUAUCCAUAUGAGAUUCUAUAGUAACUUUUGCAUUUGCUUUGCUUUUCAUAGAAAAAGCUUGUAAUCAUGAUAAGGUACCUACCACACAAAUAGGAGUGUAAUCAAGAAUAUCCAGCUCAAGAUGUUAUAAUUCACUUGUAGCAAAUGAAUCCUUCAAAUAAACUAAUCAAGAGAAAUCCACCGAGAAGGAAGUACCUGGAACUUGGAAAGAUGCUCUUUUGUCAAUUUUGUAGUUAAAGUAGAGAUGACCACUGCAUUGUUGAGUUCCUGCAACUUCUGAACAGAAGCAAGGGCUCUAUUAGUGCCAACAUCAUUUUCUGAGAAAACAAAGUUGCUGGAUAAAUCCCACAGCUCCACCACCCCUUCAUCAUGCAAUGUUACGGACUUGACACCAGCAAGAACAAGGUUUUUAGCUGCAGCAAGUAAAACAAAGCACACGCAUUAGAAAGAGAAACAUUUACAAAAACUUGACACCAACAGCAACAAGAGUUAAAGAAAAUUUAAAACAUUACAUUAUUUAAACACAUGCAAGGAUGUUAAAAAAAAAAGCUGCAGCAAAAAGAAAUCCAACUACAACAAACUGCCAAAAACAAGAUUAAUAAGCAGGCUUCCAUUCAACUGAUGUAGUUCGAAUUGAACAGGGAGAAAUUGAGAUAACUUAAGAAACAAAAAAGAAGAAGAAACGAAGACAAAUAGCUUGCGGAUAGCCCUCUCUUUCAUAAGCACAAAUUCAGCAUUCCAUUUCCAACGUUUCUUCAACAGAAAACAAAACAAUAAAUCCAUAAACAGCAACAAAAAUACCAAAUUAGCCUACAAGCUGCCUGACUCAUGAUCUUAAAGAGCUCACUAAUUAAACCAACACAAAUCAAGCUUAGAAGCAAAUAUCUAGCCACAGUAACUGAAAUCUGAUCACCUUUAACUACAGAGAAUUAAAAGUUCAAAAUCUAAUCAUCAUUUGCUCCCAAAAAUUCACCAUCAACAACAACAAAAUAAUCCACAACAAGAUCCAGAAAAUCACCGAAAAAAAUUAAACCAGAAAUUAAAAAAUAACAGGAUUAAGAAAAAUUACAAGAAACUGAAAAAUAAUUAAAGAACCAUACCAAUCUCAACACCAAGUCCUUGCAUCCCAGAAACGAGAACAUUAGAAGCAAAGAGCCUCCGCAUCGUCUCCCUACCGUAAACAGCAAGCUGCCGGCUAUGAAGAUCCUCAUCAAUCUCCGAUGGAUUUGAAUCACCAAGCGCCAUACUCACCUUCUCUUCAGCACCACCACUCUCUCUACUAAUAUCACUGCAAUUACCAAUAACGCUACUAGUUUUCUUAUUACUAUUGGCGGCGGUCGAUUCCAAAUAACAAUCGACCCGAUGCUUCUUAAAGACCGAUGACGAAUCUUUUGCUAUGUUGUUUUCACUUCCUUCUCCUUCUACCAACACAGCUUCAACUGGUAGCCUUUUAGGAAGCAUAAAGUACAGUAAACUGCCAAACAAGCCACAAAUCAUCACAAUCGAAAUCAAAGAUAAGCUGUUGUUAGCGAUUACAGUCGCAACAAAGAUCGGUACCGAAAUCAUAAACCCUAAUCCUAAACCUAACAUCAACAUGAUUGUAAGAUAAAGAAAUGGAUCAAUGGAUUCGUGAAGAUAGAGAAAGAAACAUACCGGUUAGGACUUAAUUAAGGAAAGAAUGGAAUCUAAGAGAGGAAGAAUGGAGAGGAAUCGAGAGAGAGAGAGUGAUUUGCUUUAUUGAGGAAGAAUAUUGAGUGAAGGGUAUUUGUGGAUUUGUGUGUUUUAGGGUUUAGGGGCAGGAGGGGUCAAGGGCUGUCCGGCUUUGGCAAGGUCGGGGUGCGUGUGGUACUGUCAUGAUUUUCUCUCUCUAUGUUGAAGAGAGAGAGGAGGUGUGUUUUGGUGUGAAGAGAGAGGGGAGUAAGAUAAGUCAGGUUGAGAGAAAGGUUGGUGUGUUCGUGUUGGGGAAUGACUGGUGAGAGGUAAAUUAUUUGAAUCGUGUGAUUUGGGGUUGAUGGUUUAGUCGUUGCCGUUUUAUUGGGGUUUUCGGGGGUGAUGAUGUCGUUUUCGUGGUUGUUUUGUUGUAUUUCGUUUGUAUGGGAUAGAAACUCUCGGCCGCGAAAUUAUGCUUACGGACACUUUUUAUUUGAAUUGAAGGAAUUGCAUGUAUUUAAGAUGUAAUGAAUUUCGAUAUAAAUAGCUAGCAAUUAACAUAAUUUCAUAGGUGAAUUUAUUUAAUUUUGAUGUGCAUGAACCGGAUUGACGGUGCCGCGAACAUGAAAUUAAAAAGAAAAUAAAAUAAAAGAUUAUUAGUAAAAUGCUUAGGUAUUAUCUUUAAUAGUGAUAUACUUGAAGCUUUUACAGUUCGUUUAUUUAAAAAGAAAAAAAGGAAAAGUGUAUUUGUACUCCUUUUCUUUUUCCUACUUCUUACGGCGGUAAAAGAAAUCCUAGUUCUAGAGACUAUCAAAGCAGAAUUUGUUACCCUCUCUCGACUCUGCUUUGGUAUUGUGUAAUAAAUAGAGUUGGCUAAAAUUUAUUUAUAUUUUUAUCAUUUAAAUAUAUUAAUAUAUAAAAAUAAAUUUUGCUAUAUUCUCGUUGUAACCCACCACAAGCCCCACUGGUCUAUUUCUGCGUGAAACUUCCAAAUAAGUGAAUUUUUAUCCCACACCAAACCCACUUCUUUCAUUGCAAUAAAGAAGAUAAAUGGCAAGGUGACUUUACAAUGACACCCUCGUAGACAUAAUCUUUGAAUAACAAUGGCAGCUUUUUUUUAUUGGAUAUUCUCAAUAUUUGAACUCAUGAUAUUAAGAAAAUGAACAGGCAUUUUUACCCAUCCACCAAACGCUAACAAACUAGACCAGCUACAAAAUUAACAGUAUUCCUUUCAUUUUUACAAGAUAGCAAAAGCAAAUUACUUUGAGUCGUAAUUAUACCUCAUUAUUUGUUACUAAUAUUAGAUUUUCAGGAGAAUAAUAUCAAUAAAUUAUAGCUCGAUACCCGCUCUCCAAAAAAAAAAUUCAGGUUGGGACCUCUUCUCUAUAGGAAAAGAAAGCUUAGGACACAAGUUACAUAUCUAACAUCGUCAUUUGAAAGCAUUUGAAUUCUAAUAUCUUUCAGUAUCCGCGGCGAGACCUAAAAUAAUCACCUUGCAACAUGCCCAUGUGUCCUGUCCAGGACAAGGAAGUUAACACGACAACUAAGGAAAAUUGCUUCUUCAAGUCCGUCUAGGACAAAAUCCUGUCUCUCUCACUAAACUUGCUUUCAAACUCUAAUGAACAAUAUCAUCAACUCAGCAGACCGGUUGCAUCCACGAUGUAAAUACCUCAGGUCGAUCUCUUUUAUCAAAGAAAAUUUUGUAGGGUCGAGAAUAACAGCACAUAUAUAGCCUGAGAACAGCACCAGAAAAUUUUCUCAUGGCAUUCUCGAGUUCCACAGCAUUCAGUAUUCAUAUAUCUUGAAAUAGAAGUUGCUAUUUGGUUUAUACUAUUGAAAUGUCAAACGGUUGUGUGAAAAAUAUCCAUAUUGUGUGCUCACAGAUGCAGCAGCAUUGAAAUGAAAUCUAACUGUUAAUGGGACUCCACCCCUCGUCCAGCAAUCUCAAGACUGACUUACUGAUUGGGGAAACGGACAAAGAUAACCUAACUGAAGUAAAUAGAUACAGGAGGAAUGUCAACAUCAUUGCCUUCAUCAUCCUCGCAUGCCACAACGACAUCAAAGUGGCGACGAUAUGCAGGCAACUCUACUUUAGCCACUUCCCUCACCAGAUCAACCACCUUCCUGUCCAUUCUGUCUCUAUGCCGAGGGAACAUGCUAUUGUAAAGCAGGCAACUACCAUGUGAAAUGCUAUAGGCAUCAAGACCCUUAUCCUUGAGCCAUUGCAUAAGUUCCCUCAAGGUAGGAUUGUUUUUUAGGAUCCACCUGUCCCAAACUGUCCAGCUCAUAUCCUGAUGCUUGAUAACCUUGGGUGGGACAGGCUCGGCCAUGGAGAACAGAGGAAGUGCAAGGUUGGCAAAUGUAUUGCGGUAGUCCUCCACUUUGUGUCCACCAUCCAGAACCUUAUACAGCUCCAAGCACACAAGACCAGUAGCCAUAGCUGUGGAGGUUGCUAUAGCAGGGAUGAUCCUUCCAGCAAUAAACUUGGCUUUCAGCUUGUCAACCUCAGGAAUGCUGUAGUUUCUUGCUCUCAUGUUGGCGAGACCAGCUAUCAGAUCCAUGUGGUAGUUUGUAUCAUCAUCCUGCACAAUCAAGGAAGUUAACUUAAAUUUCGGUUGGCUCAUGAAUAUUGAAUGGCUGAUAAAAGUGACUCCCCUUAUAUUUUGGCCACAUAUUUUCUUUUUUAAAGUAUUUCUAUCUACAUCAUGAAGCAAACACUACCCUUGAUCAAUUAAUGCAAAUAUUUCAAAAUUUUCAGCCAAGUUAAUAAGAAAAAAUGUUGGAUAACAUCUUGAUUCAACAGCAGGAUGGCCCAAAAAAUGCAUGCUAAAUAAAUUGAACAAGAGAUAUCACCUUCUCAAAUUGAAUUGGCGUCAUCCUGAACCCAAGUGGCAGCUUCUGCCUACACUGCUCUAAUUUUUUGAUAAGUUCAUUGAUUACCGCUGCAUCAUCUACAGAUGCAGAAGACAGGGUGGUAGCCUUCUCGUCUGUCUCAAUUUUCGCGUCUUCUCUUGGCUGAAAUUCUGGCACUACCACCUUCUCCACAGCCUCAGCCAACAUCUUAGGAUGCUUCGCCCACUCAGGAACUGAGAUCCCAAAAGUCUCUGCUCGCAAUAUUGAUGCUGCCAUGACAAAAUGGAGGUGACUUGGAUCUACAACUGAGAACUGAAGUGGAUGGGGGAAUCGCUUGGGGGCAGACCAGAAUGGAGCACCAGUACUAGUUGAUGCAUCCUCAGGGAAAGUGAAAAUCAACUGCUUCACCCGAUCAGCAAAAUAAUCUUCAAACCUGAAGACAAAGUGAGCAUAAAGUCAAGAAACAGAACAAGGUAUGUCCUAUCAUACAGAGAAUUGGAAACCCAAUCAAGGAGAGCACCUUAAACGAGCCCAUGUAAUGCAAUCCUGGAAUGUCUCACAUUUUUCCUUCUCAAGGCACUCAAGAACAUGUUCCAGAGUGUCCCUUGACUGAGCAUCACCAGCUUUGUUCAUAGCAUUAGUAUAUUCAACUGGAUUUGAUAAAUAGGCAUUCACUUCUGCUGGGGUUUUCUCCACCAAACCCUCGAACUCGGAUCGAGCCCAUGUCAAGCAAUGGUCAAUGUUAUGUGGGAAUGAAUGCACAGUGCACAUAGGUGCUUGUUUCUCAGGUGGGUCCCUUGAAGCGCCAUAAUUUUCAGUCAGGUGAGGAAUGACCAUCUGAGUGUUGCAUUUGGCACCUAAGGUUCCAGACUCGAGAAGAGGCUUUUGGAAGUACAAGCACCUCUGAUCAACAUAAAGUCUCGCAUUGACAUUGUCCAAAGCAUUCACAACAGCAGUUAAGUUCUCCCAGAAGGUAUCAUCAAAGACAUUCUCUGUUUCAGAGCCAACACGAUUCUGCAGCGCUUCAAUCUUGAGAUGAGGAUUUAUUAAUGCAGCAGCAGAAGCUGCAACAGUGGAUUUCGCCUGUCCAAUGUUCCAAUCACGGAAGAGAAACUGCCUGCUCAAGUUACUCUUCUCUAUCACAUCAUCAUCAGUUAUUGUCAGCUUC
rnacentral:lncRNA from 1 species